GCCGACCAAAGCAAAGAACAAAGAGAAAAGAAUAGAAACAAACCCUAGAGAGGAAAAUUCAAGAGAAAUUUGUUGAAUUUCAAAGAACAAAGCAAUCAAAGGUAAGAUUUUUUAAUUUUAGCUUAAAAUCUACCUUUCCCAUGCUUUCUUUUUCAUUUUCUAUGGUUGAAACACAAGUUUCCAUGAGGGAAUUCUUGCUGGCCAAACAUUGGGAGAAAGGUUUUGAUGAUGGAUUUUGCUAGAUUUCAUGAUAUCUUAGUGUUUUUAGUUGUUUGAUGAUGUUUGGCAUGAAAAACAAGCAAGAAAAUCACAUGCCCUUCAACAACCCUCUUUGGUCGAAUGUUAUAGGUGACAUGUUGAUGAUGGAUUUUGUUGUAUUUCAUGUUAUUUAGCUCGUAAUUGAAGAAUAAUGGUAUUGGAUAUCAAAAACGGUUAUCGAAAAGUAUAGUUCCUUUAGUAAACGACUUGAACAAUAAUGAGAAAAUCAUAGUGAAUGGACUUGGAUUUCAUUCUUAAUGAUAUAGAUGGAUUUAUUGGACUGUGUUAACACUGAUUAGCACGUUAGUUCGGAAUCGAAAUGAAUUUCGAUUACAAUGAAUUAAGUCACAAUCAAGCUCAUUGAGGUACUUUGGUGUAUUUGGAAUAUUGAAAGUGUAAUGAAUAUAUUUGAAGUUGAAUCGGAUGUUUUGGUUAAUUCAACAGUGUAUAGUUCGAGUUAGGUCGAAUACAAAUUCAGUCCUAUCAUAAUUGAACCCACGUAGAACACCGUAUUUAAGUGAUUAGUCGAACAAUUUUUAUUCAAUUUCAUGCAUUCAGAUAGAGCUUGAAAUAGUUUUAUAACAGUUUGGCAUAAAUAUAUUGAAUUACGUGUCAUGUAUUAUGUAUAGAUGGUGAGCCCUCUGAUAAGGGUAAAGAUAUCGUACUCGAGGACCAAGAAUAGGAGUACUCCAAACUCCCGUUAUUAUGAGUAAUCAAAUGAUCAUCUUAACUAUCUAAAGUAGUUUAUACUAGUUUUUAUGAUUUUAAAGAAUAAUGAACUUAAAUUGUAAACUAUUAUGUUUUAUAAGUUAAGUGUUGGUUAAAUGAACGAGAUUUAUAAAUUAUUUUGCAAUUCAACGACGAUUUUGGAAAUUGAGUAGGUGGAGACUAUAUACUUGUGUUAUCUAUAUAUAUAUAUGGUUUGAAUUGAUGGCUUAUGACAAUGUGAUAGCAUGAAUGGCUGGAUUUGUGGUUUGUGGAUUAUAUAAACUCUUUUGUUUUACCUUGACAGGCUGGGUAAUAUUAUAUUAGCCAUGUCAUGCUGUCAAAAUUUUUAUUGAUUUGGUGGGUUAUUUGAUUAGCUUACUACAGUGGGCGGGUUUUCGUAGACUAGCCUAUUAGAGGGGCAUGGUAAACCCCGUUAUAUUUUACCUUAGUACGAGAAGUGCGAAGGGUAUCUCCUAAGGUAAGUUUAGAGUUCACUUCACGCCGAACCACCACGUGAGGAUGAAACUCAACCAACGCUAAGGAAUGGCUAUAUUUUAAAAGUAAAAACAUGUUUUAUGGGUAUAUGUCGUUUUAACAUCCUUGGCAGACUCGGUUGGAUGCCUGGGCCAAGGUGUCACCUAGUAUGUGUUUUGGCACAAGCCAACUUUUUAAGAGAAUCAUAAGCCUUGUUGAUUAUUUCGAUGAAAUGUAAUUGUUUUAUAUGAAUUGAAAUGAGUUUUAAAUGUUAUGAAUCAUAUUAUGAUGGGAUGACUUAACUGUCUCCAUUUACUCGACUUUAGAUGUUGUAGAUGAACUUUGCUUACUCACUGGGUUUAUAAAAACUCACCUUUUUUUUUACCCAUUUCAGGCUUAGGACAGUCUGUAGACAGUCGAUUUUGUCGAGGGUUGCUUUUGGAUUUGCAUCCUUAGAAAUCGAAGGUCUAAAGUCUUGUAUGUUUUCGAUUAUUUUGGGGCCCACAUGUCAUUGUAGAAUAUUUUUGUAUACCUGGUUUAGUGUGCUAUUAUAUAUAUGAAUUUAUUUUGCUCUUACGCUAUAAAAAUUGUUUAUGCUGGAUUCUAUAAAUAUUGUUUUAUAAGAAAAUAAAAUAUUUUAUUUAGUUUGAUUAGCCAUAGUUUCAUUUGAAAUGGAUGAUCUAGAUUACUAAAAUUAUUUUUAGAUAAGAAAUACAUAUUUUUCAAUCGUAUAUUGUAUUUUCACCAGGUUUCAAAAUUUUUGGAUAAAAAUGACCAAAAUACCCCUAUGUAGCAGAAAUUAUUUUUUGUUUGUUUUUGAUUUAAAAAUAGUUUAUUUUCCUUUAAAACAUGAUAUUUAGUAACUGUUGCUCCCAAGAGAGACAUAAAAUUGAUGUAAGAGCCUUGCGAGGUUUCGGUUGACAUUUCGGGUAAUGAAUGUCUAUCGAGACAUCACGGCAGUUGUUACGGGCUCGAAGGGAGUAUCGGGUCAUGACAAACUAUUUCGCUAAUAGGCAUUUUUUCACUCUCUUCAACUUAAGCCACCUCCCUCACAUUUUCUCUCAACCUACAGUAAUUCUUUUACUCGCUUUCACAAAAAAUCAUAAUUUUUGUAUUUGAAGUUUGGUUUUGGGUUUGAACUAACUGAGGUAAAGUUUUCCAACUUUAAAGCUUUUAGACACUUGAUUUUUAAUAUUGAUUUCAACCUUCUUAAUAGAUUUUGUGUUUUCUCAAAGAGGUUAAGACUUUUCAAAGGUUUUACUCACUAGUGGCUCACCAAGGUAAGGAAGAAUUAAAGAUUUAAGUGUUUAUUUCACUAGUUAGUUGAUAAAUAGUAGAUUUAAGCUAGGAGAAAUUAGUUUUAGGCAAACUCAACUAGUUUUAAAAUAAUGUAGAUGAUUUCUACAUGAUUUAUAGUUUAAGUAAUGUUUAUGACAAUUGUUGAACACUUUAUGUGCUGUCAAAACUCCAAGGAAUUCACUGAAGUGAAGUGUCACAUAUUGGUAGAGGUAGAGUAUUUGAAGGUGAAUGAAUACACAUUUUUAAGUAUUUUAAUAUGUAAAGUGAAGCAUGAUUUUAUGGAGUUAUUUGAUUUUCAUGAUUUAAAAUGCUAUGAUUAUAACUACAAAAUUUAACUGAACUUAAUAGUUUAGAAAGAGUUUUCAAAUCUAUUAUGUAUGUAAAUAUCUAUAUUACGUAUUAGUUUUCAAUAAGGGAGAACAUGUCUUUUCAAUUGGUCUCCUUCAAAAUAAAAUCAUGUGCUAUGAUUGUAUGCAAAUCGAUGCAUGCUUAGAUGAAUUUUAUGGUGGAUGUAGUCAUUCCCACCCAAGUGGAAAUGAGUUGACCAUGUUAUGUGAACAUGUGUAUGAAAUGAUUGACUAUGAGUUGAUAUAAAAUGAUUAUGGGACCUAUUAAGGGAUUAUUAUGUGAUGAAGGUCGAGAGACCAUAAUCUUGACUACAUGUUUUGUUGUUAAUUGAAGAUAAACUUGAUGGUAUGAAUGAUAUCAAAUCUCUAAGUGUUAUGACGAAUAUGAUAAGGCCAUUAAGUGGGUCUAAUAGUACUACUAAAAGUCUAAGAUAUUGCCAAUAAGUGGGGCAAAAAUACGAUCAACAUAUAGCCUAAGUGGAGUGCAUGUACCAUUAGAUUAUUUACCAAUGAGUGGGGUAGAUGUACUACUAAAUUAUUUGCCAAUGAGUGAGGUGGAUGUACCACUAGAUUAUUUGCCAAUGAGUGGCGAAACGUACUGCUAGAUUGUUUGCCAAUAAGUGGGGAGGAAAUACCACCAUCAUAUAGCUUAAGUAGGGCGAAAGUACUACCAUAUUUUUUGCCAUUAAGUAGGGUAGAAAUACCACUAGUACUAUGUUGAUAUCGUAGAUAAAUCUAUGAUAUAGUUGAGUAAUUGUUAUUGAAACUUAUGGAUAGAUGUUACAUUUUUUAUGUAAGCAUGAGAAUUAUGAGUUUAUAUAGACAUAGAGGCAAGAAAUAUGUUUACUAUUGAGCAUGAAUUAUGAAUAGUGAUGAUGUUAUGAGAUGAAAGUGCCGUAGGGAGGAAAUAAGCUAGAAAAUGGCCAAAAUCUGAGUUUUUAUUAAUGAAGUAUUGAUACUUAAAGGAUAGUAUGCCUUAGGAAGCAUUAUGUGGUGAAAUUAUCGAUACCUACAAUCUAGAGAGCCUUUUGGAGUAAAAGUAUGGAUACCUCCCAAGGAAGUAUCGAUACCUAAGGUGUAGAACAAUAUGUUUACUCUUUGUUCACAAGGUUUUCAACCUCCGUUUAUCUCUAAAUAUUUAUGCACCUUUAGAUUUAACUAAUCUUUCAUGAAAAAGGCUUUGUCCAACAUCAUUUCCAAAUAUGUGAAGGAAACAUAUGAAAUUUAGCAAUUUCCAUGAUUAUACAAAUGAUGAUUUAUGCGAAAGCUCUUUUCUUUUGACUUGUCUCUUUCCUGUAUUCACUCAUGGAGCAUUUGUGACUUACUCCUCAAUUUUCCCAUGUUUUUUUAUCGAUCAAAGAUUAGCUUGCUACCUUUGUCAUGAAGAAAAGCUUCUAUUUUUUCUUUGGCAAGUGUUCUAAAAGCCCACUUGAAGCCUAAAAGGUGGGGAUAUGUUUCGUUGACGAGUCGAUUUUAUGUUAUGUUCAGUUAUUGUUGGAUAUUUUUAUGGUUGUGUAGCCACUAAAUAGCACCAUAUUUUACAAUUUUUGACAAAUGAAUUUUAUGUGAUAGCUUGAGAGCCUAAAUGAGCACCUAGUGUGCAUACACAUAUUUGUAUGAUAUGAGACAUGGGUUUAAAUGUUCUAUAAAUGAUGAUGUUUGAAAGAAUACAUUUUCACACUUAUGAUGUGAGUUCCAUAUUGUGUGAUGGCUCAGACACUUGAUUAUAAUAUGUUUUAUAUGUUUAUAUGAAUCAAUUGUUUGAUAAACUAAAUGUAAUCAAUGAUUAAGAGAUUUUCUUGGGCUCAGUAGGUCAUACUCACUUAGGUCUUUGCACCAGUCAUGUCCUUUGAUUCAGGAUGUGAUACAAUUCUUUUUGUAACUAAAGUUUAUAUUUUUGUAAGUGAAGUUCAUCUUUUUGUAACUAAAGUUGAUAAUUUUGUAAUUAGUUUGUAACUUUAACCAAAUUGUUACAUUUUCUCGGUUCCUAGUACAAAUGGGAAGUUAAUACAAUAAUGUCAUUUAAUGAUAUAUUUUUUCUUGGAUUGCAUAAGUAGAUCAACAAAACAAAAUGUUAGUGUAGAAGUCUCAAUAACAAUAUACCAAGAGGGGGUAAAUUGGUAUAUUUAUAAAAAUUAAAAAAUUAUAUUUAUCAAAGUCAAAACCUUUUUACCAAAAAAUAUUUUCUAACACUAAAAGCAAAUAUCUAAUAAUAAAUCACUAAGUAUAAAUAUAAUGAAUCAAGCAAAAAUAUUUUUCUAAGAGAAAAUCAACAAAUCAAUACAAAUCUAUUUUCUAUGGCAAGUAUAAACAAUAAAUAAUGAUACAAAUACUAAAGAGAGACACAAAUAAUUUAUAGUGGUUUGGCCUUUUGGAUGCCUACAUCCACUCUCUUGGUAAUCAAGGAACUUCAAUCCACUAUCAAGAAUUCUUGCUUUCUAAUGGGAAGUGAUAACCCUUACACAAUCCAUAAAGGGAUUUUUGCUUUUUCAUGGGAUCAAGUGAUAACCUUUACAAUCCAUAAAAAGAUUCUUGCUUUUUACGAGAUCUAACGGUAACCCACACAAUCCACAAAAGAUUCUUACUUUUCUAUAGGAAGCGAUAACCUUUACAAGAUAACUUUUCAAGAUUAAGCUAAAACCUUCACAAUGGAGUACAAAUGUCAGCUAAAAAAUGCCUCUACAAAGGUUAAGUGCUGAGAUUUUAAGCUUGUUUGUAGUGAGAGAAGAAAUUUUAGCUUGAAUGAAGCAAGGAUCCAACUUUGAAAGCUUGAUGGAAGAUUAAAAAUAUGCUAGAGAGUGAAGAUGAGCUUGUGGGUAGUCUCUCUGGGGUUUGACACUUUAUCUCAAGUCUUUUUUUUUUACUUUAAAAUGGCUCAAAUGCGUCUAUUUAUAGCUAGAGCAUGAUUUGGAGCCGUUAGACACAAGUUUGAAUUAAAUCUGGCAAUUAUUAAAGCUUGAAAGUCCAAUUAUAACACUUUCAGGGUCAAUUAUGUUUUUCAAAUUUUCUCAAUUAGGGCUUCCAUAAUCGAGAACAUAAGUUUUCUAGUUGAUCCAUUUCCAAAGAGCAUGUAUUUUGCAAAUUUGGCCUUCUAUAGUCAACUAUGCCUCUUAUUGUCGACUAUGGCUUCUUAAAGUUGACUUUUUCUAGCCUUUGACUUGUCAUGGUUAACUAUGCCUCUUCUAUAGUUGACUAUAGCUGUUCUUCAACUUUAUUUUCUUGGUCUUUUUGGAGCAAGGUAGACUAUGCUUCCUUUGUAGUUGACUAUAAUUGUUCUAAACUUGAUUUUCUUGAUCUUUCUAGAACAAGGUCGACUGUGCUUCCUCUCUAGUCAACUAGGGCUUUAUGAUCUUCAAGUUUUGCACUCUGUUAACCUUUGGAUCAACUCGAGCUUCUCUAUAAUGGACUCUUGACUUGUGUCUUGAAGUUUGUUCAACUUUUUGAUGCUUCUUUCCAAGUACUUUCUCAUUGCCUUGUACUUAUAUUCAAGUAAACAAGUCAAGGCUUGUUUACUCUUGAUUUCUUAGUUGAAAAUGCUACGUUUGAAAGCUUCUCAGAUGUUUUCUAAAGAUUCAUGGCUUUUCAAACAAUUUUUGUAACCUUAAAGGAUUAAAAAAGUAAUUGAGACAAUUUCAAAUGUUUGAGAUUAAAUUCAUAAAGACAUGUGAUUUUUGUCAAAUCAAAACAUAAUGUAAUUUCAAGUCUAACAAUCUCCCCCUUUUUAAUAUGACAAAAACAUGAGCAAUUUACAUUUGAAAUUUCUUGAAAACUCUUUCUAGCUUAAUUAGUCUCUAUGUCCUUAAAAACAUUUAAGUAUAAAUGAGAAGGAUAUAGGAAUUGAGUAUGAACUUUUAAAAAGAUUCUCCCUUUCAAUACAUGCAUGAAGUUCAAAAAUGUUUUCAAAGUAAUUCAGCUAAUGUAAGAUCAUUUCAGUGUGCUCAUUAUCCUUUUCCUUCUUUUUGUUAUAUCAAAAGGCAGAGAAGUGUGGGCUUUAAGCACUUAAACUCAAGAGACAAUAGGUAGUGAUAAUCAUCAAUUAUAGAUAAGCAUUAAAGUCAAUAAUGAUUUAUAACCAUCAAAUCAAAACAAUGAGAUAUAUUUCUCCUCAAAUAUUCAAUUAAUAGAUCAAGAAAUAUAUUCAACAUUGCAAUCAAGACACAUAUAGAUAUUCUCAACUAAGAUAUAUUUCCAUGUAAGAUAUUCAAUUAAGAAAUUAUGGAAUAUAUCAUAAAUUGAUCAACCAAGGAUGCCACAAACUCACAUAGAUAUAAUCAAAAUGAUGUGGUCAUUACAUCUUUUAGGUGCAUGAAUGUGAAAAAUAUAAACAUAUAUAAUUAAAUACCUCAUUGCACAACCAUAAGUAUUAACAAGAUGAUAAUAAGAUGUAUGAGUGGGUGAAGUGCAAGUCAUCCCAGCUAGUGUCCUUUUUUAAAUAGGAGUUGUGCAAGAUAAGUCUUUAAGUUCUCUUGAUGUUAGAGUAUGCCUUGGAUUUGCUUGCCAAAGUUGUCAAAUUGUGCAACAACGACAUCAAGUUGCUUUGAGUUUUCAACCAAUGUGGUCAUAAUAGCCUCAAGUUUUGUAUUAAUGUUUGAAGCAUUGAUGGCAUAGUGUUGGAGGAUGGUUCAGUUGAAGUUGGUGAAGGAGCAUUCAUCUUCAUUGUCACCAUCAUCAUCACCUUCUUGACAAUCUCUCUUAUGUACCCAAGUUCCUAUAUCAACAUUUUCUAUAUAACCCAUUUAACCUAUCGUAAUCCUGUCAAGAUGUUUGAUCUUGGGUUGAGAAGUAGCAUUGUCCAUGGAAGAGACAUCAAUGUUGAAAUGAGCUAGUAUUUGAGUGAUGACUUGGCCAUACAUAAGACUAGACUUAGUUCCUAUCACAACUUUCCUUAUAUAUGAAAUAUGAAAUGAGCCAAAUUUAUAGGAGUUGAAGCUUGAUGUGAUGUAUGAACCAUAAAUCCUCCCUAGAAACUGCUGAGUGCUUGCUUGGUAUUGGCCUCAAAGUCUAACUAAUAAUUAAAUGUAAUAUUCUGUCCAUCAUGGAUAAUCUAGCACAUGAAUUAGGGGCACCCACAUUGUUGACAUAAAGUUCUCUUUCUAAAUCUUGCCCUGAUAAAUUAUCACUAGUGUAGGUCAUAGCAUCAUGUGCACAUUGUAAGUUAAAAACUUUCGUAAUCAACUCUGGUGUUAUCUUAAGUAUUCUACCCAUGAUGUAAGUAGUGAAUGCAUUUUCAUAAGUUCUGACCUCAUUGUCUUCAUCUUUAUAUCCUGCACUAACAUUACUAUAGAAUACUCCAACAAACUUCUCAUAAACAGGAAUAUACAGUCUUAAGUAAUUAUACCAUCCCAAAACUUUAAAAUUUGCAACAUAAGGAAAACCUAGCUCUUCAAGACAAUCAAGAUAAAUUAUCGGACCAUAGUAGACUUUUCUUGAAACAAAUCCAUUUCAAUAUCUUUCAAAGGCAGUUAAGUUAGCAAAGUUUAGCACUUGAAAUUGAUUUGCACUUGAGGAGCUUGUUUGACGAGCAGAAACGUUUUGACUUUUUAGUAGUGCCAUUGAGAUAAACUUUGAAGUAAUGACCAACUGAAGAGUAAAAAGACUCAGCUGUGAAGAGUUUUUGGGUGCUAGACUAUGCACUGUAGAAGUGAUUUUCUAGAUUUUAGGAGGAUUUAGUUUUGAAGCAAAGUUCCCUAUUUAUAGUGAAUGAAGGUUGGGAGGUUUUAAUGGACACUAUGAAUCUAGAGGACCUAAAGAAGGUGAGCCUAAAAGCAGGAAUGAAUUUGGAAGAAAACAUGAGUAUGGAAGAGUGAAGAAUUUAAGGAAUUUAAGAAACCAACAAGUAUGGUUGACUGUACAUGGGCUAUAACCGAUUAUGGUUUUUCAAAAAUGCAUGUUUAGACUACUUAAGUGCUCGGGUUGGUUGAUCUUCUUAAUCAUUUAAUUGACUAUGUCUUUUCUAAAACACGUUUCCAAGCACUUUUGAUUUGAAUCUAGUUUACUUAUUUACAAGAUUAGUCGACUAUGUCUUCUUAAAUUUGUUUGGAAGAAUUUAUUUUUGGCUUUCAAAACAUACUUAAAUAAACCUUGGCUUUGGAAGAAAGCUUGGAGACUAUUUUGAAAGGAAGUGUACAUUAGUUCAAGAGUUUAUUUUCAAGAAAUCAUUUGUCACAAAUGAAGCCUUAUAUUUUGAAAAAUCAAAAGUAAUUUUCUUGAACUUGUGAAGGUGUAUAUGCAUAUAUAUAUAUAUAUAUAUAUAUAUAUAUAGGAUGAAGGCCUUAGUGUUGGAUGACUUAUGUGCAUAGUGUAUGCAUGUAUGAUAUGAACAAUGUGUGAUGCAGCAUGCCACAAUUAAAUGUACAAUCAUAUAUUCACAUAAAUAUUUAUGCAAAUGAUCAACAAACUAUUCUAAUUUCAAAAAUAAAAAAUAUUUUGACUAUAGUGAGGAGCAUAUAAUGAUUCUAUGUUUCAAUCAAUUAAGCAUAAGAUUAAUAUGGUGUUUAAGGGGUAUUACCAAUAAUGUAGAACACCAUUUGUUGAGAUCUCACCAAGCUCAUUGUUGAAGAUUUCAAGUGCUCAAUCUCUUUCUUGUGCUAUUAACUUAGAACAUGCAUGCUCCUCCUAUAAAAUGAAAACUUGAACAUUUGUUUUUGGUACCCAAAUUCUUUUGGGUCUUUUACGGUUAGUAACCUUGGUUCUCUAGAAAAGCUUAUCAACUUCUACAACCUUACCUUAUGGGGGUAUGGUUCCUUUGGGAAUCUAUACAUAUCUACCUAUUUAUCUCUGUGUAACAAUUCUAUAAGAGCAAGAUAAUGUAGAAUGUUCGAAUUUGAGGCAUGAAGUGCAUCUGGAAAAACCAUCAUACUUUUCAUUUUCUUUGACAAAGAAAUUUUUAUGGUGGGUUUCUUUUUUUGUGAAGUCAUACCUUAACCCUUCUUUGUUAAAGAAAGCUCUUUGUAAUACUAACAUGUCGUUUAAUUUUUGUUGGCUAUCUUGAAACUUAGAAAGAGUGUCAUGCAAAGUGUCAUUUUUCUUUUUGAACAAGUCAAUUUCAUUUUGCAUGCCUUUCAUAUUAUCUUUUAACUCAAUCCUAGCCUUAACUAGGUUCUCAUUUUCAACUUCAAGUUUUUUUAUGAUGUCCUUGUAUUUAAGAUUCUUUCUUCAAAUUCAAACAUAAGAUCAUCAUAAGCAUCUUACAAGUCAUCAAAUGUAUAAUCAUUUUCUUCAUGAGUGCAUGAAUCAAGAUUAUGAGGAUUAGAAUUUACCUUGUAGACAUUGAGUGCCAUGAGGCAAAGAUUAACAAUUUCAUUAUCCUUUUCAUCUUGUUAAUCAUCAUUGUCACUCCACGUUGCUAUCAUUCCUUUCUUCUUAAAGUUUCUUGAAGUCCUUCCUUUAUUAUGGCAUUCAUACUUAGUAUGUUCGGGCUUCUUGCAAUCAAUACAAGUUAAGUAAUUCUUGGACAUUCUUCCUUAGGCACAUCCCUUUUCAUAGGUUUUCUAGCUCUAGAGUUUUUCUUUACGAACUUAUUAAAUUUUCCUUGCUAACAUGGACAUAUCCUCUUCAUUUUUACUCUCAUUUUUUUAUGGUUUUCUUAUCCUCCUCAACUAAAGAUUUAAGAACUAAACUUUUUUGUUUGGCCUCUUCCUUCUUAGGUUUUUCUCUCUCAUUCUCAUGUUUAAGUGACAUCUCAUAAGUGAGAAAGGAACCUAUGAGCUCUUUUAGCUUAAAUUCAUUUAGAUUCUUAGCUUCUUCUAUAGUCGCAACUUUGGGUCUCCAAGAUUUUGGCAGGCUAUAAAGGAUCUUUUUUACAAGUUGUGCAUUGGGAAAAUCUUUUCCUAAGGCUUUUAACCACCAACAAUAUUUGUGAACCUUUCAAACAUCUCAUUAAUAGAUUCACUUUCUUUCAUCCUAAAGAGUUUAUUGUCAUAUGUAAGCAAUCCAAUAUUGGAUUCCUUAACUUGGUUGGUGCCUCAUAAGUGGUUUCUAAGGUGUUCCAAAUUUGUUUAGUAUUUUCACACAUACACUUUAUUAAACUCACUAGCUCCGAAGGCACAAAGAAGAGUAUUGUGAGCUUUGCAAUUUAUUUGAAUCAAUUUGUUAUCUCGAUCAUCCCAAUCUUUCCUAGGCUUAACAACCAUUUUGCCAUUUGCCUCCUUCCUUGGAACAUGUGGACCAUCUAGUAUGACGUUCUAAACAUCUAGAUCCACAGAUUGAAUAAACAUUUCCAUUCUCUUUUUUUAAUAAAGAUAAUUAUUACCUAAAAAGAGAGGUGGCCUUUGGAUCAAUUGCCAUUCACCUAGUACUGUUGUCGUUACCUCCAUUUUUAUCGAUUGUGCUUCUACAAAGGAUCUCUCAAAGGUAAUUAGACCUAUAAAAUUUAAGACCAAGCUCUAAUACCAAUUGUUAGUGUAGAAGUCUCAAAUCAAUAUAACAAGGGGGUGAAUUGGUAUAUUUAUAAAAAUUUUAAAAAAAUCUAUUUAUCAAAAUGAAACCUUUUUACCCAAAAAUGUUUUCUAACACUAAAAGCAAAUAUCUAACAAUAAAUCAGUAAGUAUAAAUAUAAUGAAUCAAGCAAAAAUAUUUUUCUAAGAGAAAAUCAACAAAUCAAUAUAAAUAUAUUUUCUAAGGUAAGUAUAAAUAAUAAAUAAUGAUACAAAAACUAAAGAGAAACACAAAUAAUUUAUAGUGGUUCGGCGUUUUCGAUGCUUACAUCCACUCCCUUGGAAAUUAAGGAAUUUCAAUCCACUCUCAAAGGAUUCUUGCUUUUUAAUGUGAGGCGAUAACCUUUACACAAUCCACAAAGGGAUUUUUGUUUUUUCACUAGAUAAGUGAUAACCUUUACAAUCCACAAAAGGAUUUUUGCUUUUUACAGGAUCAAGUAGUAACCUACAUAAUCCACAAGAGAUUCUUGCUUUUUGGUAAAAGCGAUAAUCUUUACAAGAUAGCUUUUCAAAGUUAAGCUAGAACCUUUACAAUGGAGCAUAAAUUUCAACUAGAAAAUGCCUUUACAAAGGUUGGGUGUUGAGAUUUUAAGCUUGUUUAUAGUGAGAGAAAAAAUUUCAGCUUAAAUGAAGCAAGGAUUCAACUUUGAAAGCUUGAUGGAAGAUUGAAAAUAUGCUAGAGAGUAAAGAUGAGCUUGUGGGUAGUCUCUUUAGGGUUUGAAACUUUACCUUAGGUCUUUUCUUACUUUAAAAUGGCUUAAAUGCGUUUAUUUAUAGAUAGAGCAUGAUUUGAAGCCGUUAGACACAACUUUGAAUCAAAUUUGACCUUUGUUGACACCUGAGGGUAGACUAUGUUCUUCAAAUUUUCUCAAUUAGGGCUUCUAUAGUCGAGUAUAUAAGUUCUCUAAUCAAUCCACUUUUAAAGAGCGUCUAUUUUUCAAAUCUAGCCUUUUAUAGUCGACUAUGCCUUUCUUAAAAUCAACUAUGGCUUCUUAAAAUUGACUUUUUCUAGCCUUUGACUUUCUAAGGUCAACUAUAUCUCUUACAUAGUCGACUAUAGUUGUUCUUUAACUUGAUUUUCUUGGUCUUUCUAGAACAGGGUCGACCAUGCUUCCUCUGUAGUUGAUUAUGACUGUUUUGAACUUGAUUUUCUUGAUCUUUCUAGAAUAAGGUCGACUGUGCUUCCUUCUUGUCAACUAAUGCUUUAUGAUUUUCAAGUUUUGCACUUUUCAACCUUCAAAUCGACUUAAGCUUCUCAAAAAUGGACUCUUGACUUGUGUCUUGAAGUUCCUAAAGCUUUUUGAUGCUUUUCUCCAACUAUUUUCUCAUUGCCUUAUACCUAUAUUGAGGUAAACAAUUCAAGGCUUGUUUGCUCUUGAUUUCUUAACUGAAAAUGCAUGGCUUGAAAGCUUGUAUGAUGUUUUCUAAGGAUGCAUAACUUUUCAAACAAUUUUGUAACCUUGGGGGAUUAAAAAUGUAAUUGAAACAAUUUCAAAUGCUUGACAUUAAAUUCAAGAAGACAUAUGAUUUUUGUCAAAUCAAAACGUGAUGGAAUUCAAGUCUUAACACAAAAGAUAAUAGGGUUUCAUGUUACAAGCGGAAAUUGCAUUCAACUACAAUAUUUAUAUUAUAAGCAAAAAUUGCAUUCAACUAUAGUGUUUCAAUAUUUCUAUACACUUUAUACACCAUUUCAGCCCAUAGGGAGGCCCAACAUUCUCAUAUGUAAUGUGAACAAAAAUGGUAAAAGUACCCACAAAGUCCUUAUAUUGUAGAAAUUUGUUCAAUUUAGUCCUUAUACUAUAGUAUUUUGUUCAAUUUAAUCUCUAUACUAUUUAGUUCAAUUUAGUCUUUAUGAUGUGGUAUCGAAAAAAUGAUGUGACGAAAAUUUUUUUUACCCAAAAAAAAUUCUGGACAUGUUAGUACCACAUUAGCAUCACUAAUGGUCAAUUUGGAUGAAAUUAGACAGAGGGAUUCAAAUGUUCAAAAAUUUAUAAUAUAAAAAUUAAAUUAAUCAAUUUUGAAUUAAAAAAACUAAAUUAAUAAAAAUUUUACUGAUAGAAUUUAAAACUCCACAACGGUGUAUAGGAUAUUAAUAGUUGAAUUCAAAAUUUCUUCACUAAUUCUUGGCAUUAAUUUAUAGCAGCUGGAUUCUAAUUGCAAAAAAGUGAAACAGGAGAAUAAGCUGUUGUUUGCGUGGUCUAUUGCCUAUUGAUAAUCUCUUUUCAUUAAAACAGAAUUAGGAAAAAUCAAUGCGUAAACUUGGUAUCAUUCUGAUCAUCCAAUGUUUGAUAAUUCAAUCUACUAUUAUCUAGGCUGAAAAUAAAAUUUGAAUAAGGCCAAUUUUUGAAUUAUGUCACUUGUCAAGUUAAUACGAGCACUUUUCCUCCACGAAGUAAGAGCAUUCCAUUAGCUCUUUUCGCGUUAUUACUAUCCAUUUCAUCUAAAAUUUAACAAUCUUAAAUAAAUCCAAAAGAAGCUUGAUUGAAGAGGCCCCGGGUGGGCUACACUAUGGCGCCCUGGCAAGAAGACGUUGGAAUCGGAUUCAUCUUCAAAUUGUUGAAUUUGGGAAUGGUGUGCAUUAGAUUUCAGAACAGCAAUCUCAGCCCGAGUCUUAGCUAGCUGGGUCUCUGCGUUGUGUAUCUGUUGCUGCAAUAGAAACAUAAGCCCAACGCAGCCAUACACGGGCUUCAAUUCGACAUUGUGCUUCAAAGUACAGGGAAUCUACAGCUUGAGCUCGAUGAUGGACUGGGAGUUGCCGAAUCAUCAAAAGGAGAAAAAGCAGAAAAAAAAGAGUCAAGAUUAUAAAAAAUCACGUGGUCAACAUUCUAAAAGCUGGCCUAGAUUCACUGUAUGUAACAUUAACAUUAGGAAUAAGAAUAGAUGGGGAUGUGGCAGAAACUUACUAGUACUAAAAUUCUUGUUUAUAAAAAACCUUUCAAUUAAAACGAUUAUCUAACAUCUCUUCUAAGUAAGAGAUGAUUUAAUCUUUAAAACGAGCUAAUGGGUUCCUUUUAUAUAUUUACCAAUGCUGACUUAUACACAAAAAAACUGUACAAAGAAACUUAUAACAUUUGUGAGAGUUGAACUAUUAAUAUCCACGCAAGUUUCAAAGCUAACCAUGGUUCUAAUGAUGUCAGACCUUAGUAGGGAAAAGAAAUAAAGGAAAAACUCCAUAAUCGAGGCUUGAAAGUUGCAUGGCAAUAAUGCAUAGCCAAUAUAACCAACGAGCAAAGUUAAUUGCAAUUUUGGUAAUGAUCCAAAAGAGAGAAAAUAGAAUUAUGUCAACAAUGGAAAUGCAUGGUAAGGAGAUUACCUGAAGCAGUUUUGCAACGUUGCUGGCUCCAAAGAUUUUGUGAAUGGAUGCAAAUCUUUGUAGAUUAUUAGAAGGGAAAUAAGGAGAGAAAACGCAAUCUGAAUGGCAUUUCCUUCUUAAAUAUUUGCAAGCCGCACAGCGACCAGGAUUCAUGACGCAAAAGAUCUUUGCACAAGAAACUAGUAAAAAAUCCUAACGAAAGGAUCUUUUCAAUUUUUUGUUAUUGGAGAAUAAAUCUAUUGAGGAUUUUAGACUACAAGAUUAAGAGAUUAAGGUUAAUAUAAGGGGGAAGUUGCUGUGAGGACACAGUGUUAGCUAUGAAUUUUCUUCCAACCAACGGCUACUUUUUUCAAAAUCUUGUAUUUGUAAGGUAACUUGGUGAAAAAUUGUAGGGGUUGCCAUAUUGGAAGCUCUGAAAGAAGCAAAUAUGGCAAGUUUUAUUUUCAGAAUGUAGAUUUUUUUUUUCCUUACUUGAAGGGUUUGACUUAUAUAACUUUUCUUGGUUAAUAAACCAAAUCCAUGGAUUGUACAUUAAAUUUGUAACUUGAGAAUCAGAAAUCAAAAUUAUAGUAUUGGGCUGUCGAAUCAAUUGGAUUAUUGAAAUUCAUUUUGCUUUUACUAAACUUGAUCACAUAAAAGAUAUAACAAUGAUGAAAGUGUUAUUUAGGAUUAGUGGUAAAACCAUUCCAUAAUUGUACCAAUAAUUUGAAAUUUAAUUCCUCAUUCAUCGAGAAUUGGGGGUUUAGGAAGAGAUAGAACCUUAGUUCUGACGUCUCGUGGAAAAAAAAAGCUUCUAAGAUUAACAAAAAUGGCCUUCAAAUAAGAAAACAUGAAGUUAGAGGUUUGACCGAUUCUUGUACGCCCAUCUUUCUUUCAUUCCGCGUAGCAAAGGCUGUCCAGAGCGAUUGGUACGUUCCAUUUGCAGAUUAAUUUACUAAUGCAUCUAUCUCUAAAGCCAUUGAUAUUCCUGAGUAGUACAAUUUGUGGCUGAUCAUAUGGAGUAAAGCUAGCCAAUAUCUGGGAAACAGGGCCUCGAUUCCUCAACUUGCAGAGCUGACCUGCACUCUUCGUUUGCUCAAGCCUCCAUUGGUUGCAAAUCUGUGUCGCAUACACUAUAACCACAUCUCACCUUUUUCAUUAAGGAAUUGGCUGCUUGAUCUUGAUAUAGAGAGUAGGGACCUUGACUACCCUGCAAACAAAAACCAACUUCAACCAUGAAUAGAUCCUCUUUUUGUAAUUGUAGGAUUCUUGUCUGAAAAAUAAACCAAGUAAGCCAUGAGCAUUGACCCUGUUCUUUUGGACAGAAACGCAAAAUUAUUAUUAGUAAACGACAGAAUAUGUAAAAUUUCAAAGUGAUUAAUCACACAUGAAAGCACAAGAAAGGGAAAAAGCAAAAGCAUUGUGCUUCGAUUGCACCCUUUUUGAUCUUCCAAAAUUCCUUUCAAAUGCCCAUUUUGAAUAUGCACUUUAGACGCACACAGCGUGGCACCAUCACCCCUUUCGCAAAGUUUUGAUGGUACCACGCAAGCAUGCGCCAAAAGACCAUACUCUUAUCUCCGGUCUCCCCAACCACAAAAAUUGGCUCCUCUCUCUCUCUCUCCCUCUCUUUCACUCUCUUUCUUUCAUAGGCAGAAGUGAAGGAUCAUGGAGUGCAGAGAUUGCUUUAUUUAUCACACACAAUAUAUAUAUAUCAUGGAGCUGAGAGAGACAAAGAGAGAGAGAUGAAAUAAUAUGAUAAUUGAAGGGACCUAAGGAACAAAGUAAGGCAGCAUGCUGUGUCCACUGGCAUAAAUGAAAGAGCAAGAAGCCAAUAGCCAAAUAGUGACGACAUAUGCUGCUCCCGGAAAAUCGUUGACAAGUGUGCGGAUUUCAUUGUCAUGGUGCGGAGGCAUGCAGCCACGCAUGUCCUAGGGGGCUGGGGACAGUUUCUUUUGUGUUGGACACUUGGGACAAGUGGCAAUUCUUGAUGCUGCUUCACUGUGAAGUAAAAGUUAAAAUGCGUGCAUUUCUUCUACGUGGAACUUUGUGAAAGAAGAGAGACGGAUAAGGCAAAGGAAAAGUUGAAGAAAGAAGAGCAAAUGAAGUGGCGUCUUAGUUGUUGGUACCAAUUUAUUAAUUAAGGAGAAGACGAAUUUAAUGCACGAAACUAAAAAUUUGACCAACAAUAGUUUCAUAAAAUUAGAAUAUUAUCUCAUUAGUUUCAUAAAAUCCUAUUUCAACCUAUAAAAAUUUUAAGGCUUUCUACUUAAGUCCCUAGAAAGGAAAAAAGAUAAAGUUUUUCGAAUUUUUGUUGUCAAAAUGUGGUACAAAUACCUCAAACUUACACACAUUCAAUCAUUAAUUUAAGGUUGUAGAAAUCAAUGAAUAACAAUUUAUCAAUACGAAGCAUACUAGAUGUAAAUAAACUCACUGAGCUAAACUUGUUCGAUUGAUAUCACAAUUUGAGAAUAGUUUUUGAAUAAGAAAAGAAAUUAUAUGUCCUUAAAAAUGUUGGUCCUCUAAUCCUUGUUGAGACACUAGUGAUGAGGUUUGGGAAGCCAAUCAAACUCAUAAAAAUGAUGGUGAUGUUGGCUAGCAUGACCUAGAAUUGCAAGAACAACAUGAAAAAUAUAUGAUAGCUUUGACUAUGAUUUUGCAUUUAAGAGAAUUGAUCGACAAGCAAAGUUGUACAAAAAAGGUACGAGGCAUCAAGGUAUUGUUCCAUUGUAAAAUGGUAAGAGACAGUUCUUUCAGGGCUCAUGACUUAAAGAUGCUUGGUUACAUUGAGAAGUUAAGGCAUCUUGGUUUUGUCAUGGACCAUAAACUUUGUGUUGAUUUGGUUUUAUAGCCUCGACUAGAUAGCUUUUCAAUUUGUAAUGUACUUCCACAUGAAUAGAUUGGAAGCUAUCUUACCUAAAUUGUUGAACAUGUUGGAUACAACUGGGAGGUUCAUUAGAAGGAAAAGUGUGUGUUGCUAUGCUUCAUCUUCCAAAUAAAAAAAGAAGACGAUGAGGAAGAAGUAAGAGAAGAAAGUCAAGGACUCUAUAGCUAAGGCUCAAGAGCCUACUAACGACAUAAAAAAGAACAAGAAGAAGGAUGUUUGUCAUCAUUGUUGCUAAGAAAAAGUGGAACAAUAGGCAUGUAAUCAAAUUAUACGUACAUAGUAGAAUUUAAAUUUUUUUCCAUGAGCUAAAUCUUGCUUUAUACAUUUAUCAUAGAUAAAUCCUAACUAGAGGAUAAUGGUCAUAGUUCCUUAAUUCCUUGGAGUCAAAACUCAAAAAGUUUCUGAUACAAUUCAAUCCUCUUCAUAAGCUGGAUUACAACAAACCACAAGCUGUCCAAGUGUCUAACCUCCAAUGAUGAUCCACACGAAUGGUAAUUGCGAAUAACUUAUAUGAAGAUUAGGAUUGCUUAUGCUUGUAGAGCCUAAUGCUAGCUAGGAGAGAUACAAUUUGAUCUUUCUUUUCACCAAAAGAGAUCAAAACAAAACCAAGAACACCAAGAUACACCAAUCAAUGGCAAAGGCACCAAGUCUUGGAUAAGGUGUGACUUCAUAAAUUUCCUUCUUAUUAAAUGAUCCACAGGGUUUAAAACAACCUUUGCUUAAACCUUGAUCAAUACAUUAAAUAACAUGAGUCACACUCAAUAUGGAGAAAAAAACAAUGGUCAAAUGGUUGAGGGUGAUGAUCAACAGCUUACAAGGCUAUAGGGAUAGCUAGAUUGAUUCUCAGGGUUUGGAACUCUUCCAAAUUUUCCCUCACAAAGCUCUCAAAGUUUUUUGGAUGGUUUUCAAAGGGGUUUUUAAUGUUGAUCACACAUUUUUUAUGUUAUUAAUGUGCGACAUAAGCCAUAUAUUUAUUAGCAAUUAAUCUUAUUCCUAAUAGGACAAUGCAUAACCUUUAUGCUUAAUUGCUUAAUUGCCUCUAAACUAAUUGAACCUUUCAAUUAAGUCCCUAAAGUUCUUAACUUCUUUUAAUUAAGUAAAACUCAAUUAACCCUUUUUAAAUUGACAAUUGACAUUUUUAAUAUGUGUAACUCAUUAGGUUCUUAACAUGUUAGCAAUAAAUAUUAACUAUAUUCUAAGUCAAGCUAGGAUUAGAUAAAUCAAACUCCUAUGCAUUCUUCAUCAAUUCCCAAAUGAUUAGUUUAUUUUUAUAAGUCAAGAUCAUAAUGUUUCAUGACUACCCAAAUAUUAAGAAAAGUCAUAAUGUUUUGACUCAACCUUUCAAUGAACAGUUUUACAAUGUAAUUAUUAUCCCUUCAUCAUCUAAUAUCUUGGCAAGACUUAGUGCCUAUUUGGCUUGGCUUUUUUUUUAACUUAUCUACUUCCAAAAGUAGAAGUCGAGUCAAACAGGAUUUUGUGAGAAGCUCUUAAAAAAAUAGCUUUUUUUAAAGAACAAAAUUAAAAAAAAAAACUUCAAGAAAAGCUCUAAAAAGGAGUUUUUUCUUUUUUUUCUUUAAAAAACACGUUAGCUUCUUAAGAGAAUUUUUUUUUUCCAAAAAAAUCCUCUCUAAAAAAGUACCCUAUCCCUUUCUCCUUAUUGAUCUCCUUUUUGCCUCUUUGCAAAUCAUCCCUUCAGGGUUUUUAUUGUUCUUACAAAGAUUAAUGAAAGGAAGAUCCAAAAUUCAAAACUUUGUUUAGGUAUUAUUUCUUCUUUUUCUUUCUGUUUUGUUUUUCAUUUUCUUUCUAUCACUCUUUUUUUGGGCUUUGGAAACUCUUUUAUUGUUUGACAUUUCUUAGUUGAUUGUUUGAUAUGACAAUUAUGUGAUGUUUAUUUGUUCUUAAGUUGUAUGCUUUAGAAGAAGCUUGCACAGUUUUGGGAAGGGGCUUUGAUUGAUCCAAAAAAAGAAUCUUUUACAACCGAUAUGCCCUUAGGCACAACCGUACAUAACAUAGAAAUCACACUUGGAAAGGGUGGACAAUUAGCUAGAGUAGCGGGUGCUGUGGCGAAACUGACUGCAAAAGAGGGGAAAUCAGCCAUGUUAAAAUUACCUUUUGGGGGGGGGGGGGGGGGUUCCGUUUGAUAUCUAAAAACUACUCAACAACAAUCAGCCAAAUGGGUAAUGUUGGGGUGAACCAGAAAAGUUUAGGUAGAGCCGAAUCUAAAUGUUGGCUAGGUAAGGUCCUGUAAUAAAAGGAGUAGUUAUGAACCUAGUAGACCAUCCCUUUAGGGGUGGUGAAAGGAGGGCUCCAAUUGGUAGAAAAAAACCCAUCAAUUAGACCUUCUCCUCUUUCAAUAAAAAAAGGUUUAAGUUGGCCUGAGUGAACUCAGCCUUAGGUGGUUCACACUCUACUUUACCUUUUAGAAAUAGGAGGUUCUUGUCACAUUGGAAUAGAAGACCUUGCAUAUACACAAGUCAAUAGAAGUAUUCUACCUAUUCCUUCCUAACUUAAAGUGAAAAGGCUUACUUUGUAACUUUAACUGGGGUGAGAAAAGAGAGUCAUAUUCAUAUAUAAUCAUUUUUAUAAACUGUAUGCUUUGUUUUCUUAUGAAUCCCAUCUCUCAAUAGCGUUACGCACCUUUUAAAAGGCUAAGGCAAGGAGGUAAUUUAGCACCAUUAAUGAUGUAGGGUAGGGGGGAGAAUGAGAAGGAGAAGGAAGCUUACUCUUGUUGUCGAUUUUGCAUACAUAAGUAUACGUAUCAAACAAGUAAUAUAGUGAUGAAGUAGAGUAUCACUCCACGGAGAUUUGUUCUUAAAUUUUUACUAAGUACUAAAAUCUUAUAACAAAUCAAUCUUAUUUAAGUAAUCGAAAUUUGUAGAAAAUUAACUGAAACAAAAUUAAAAUAAACACUAAAUUAACUAACAAACUAAAUAAGUUAAGAAAAGUAGUAUAUUAAAGACCUAGGAUUAUGGGUUCAUUCAACAUUUUAUUUGAGACCAGCUUUUCUUGUUAUUUAUCUUUCUUGGGUGGUUUUACUAACCUAGAAUCCAAAGCUAUAGACAAGUCUCCAUCGAGUUGCUUGUACAAAUACCUAACUUAAUUAGUUCACUAUAUGUUUAUAGGAAUCAAUUAAAUUAAGUUCAUUAAGCAAGUGUCCUAAUGUGGCUAUGUUUGGCAAUUAGCACAUGUAUACCAGAAUCGCGAAUAAGAUCACAUAAAUGACGUAAACAUACACUAUUCAAAUCUUAGUCCAAUCUAAAAUCUCUCUGUCGAGUCUCAAUUAGAUUCACAAAUUAGUUAAUUAUUGUCCAAGCAAUCAAAAGCAUUAAGAAUAGAUUUGAAUAAGCAAAACUACACCUAUUGAUGAUAAAUAAAAAAGAAACUAAUAUUUAAACUACAUGUUGAAAUCCACCACAAUCCUAGAAAGAUAAUUUAGCUCAAAAUAACAAAUAAAAACAACAUCCAAAAAAAUUUAGCCAUGAAUCCAAGUCAAAGAAGAUAAGAAAAACAUAAAAGUAGAGAAAGAAACUAAUUAUUAAAGCUUUAUGAUCUCAAUUCUCUCUCAAGUUCUCUUGUUUUCUUGCUUUGUUCUUGGCUCCAAAUCUCCAAAAUAGUUGCUUGCUCCUCCUCCUUAAAACCUUUGAAAAAGGUCUCUUAAAUAGACUCCAAGUAACCUAAUUUCCAAAAUCCUGUCAAAUUUUUAUUUUUGGAAAAUUGUCCAGCACCGCAGCCUUGAUUUCUUGGUGCCGUGGCACUGGUUUUUGUUUGCUACAGUAGCAUUGCAGUGUUGAGGUCUCGGGAAAAUUGUAUGGUGAGCUUCCUUUCACCAGCGCUACAGCUUUGUUCUCCCAAUGCUGUGGCAGUCUACCAAAUUCUAAUGUGAUUUUCACCUUGAUAUGGUCUGAACAGGGAAAAGUAGUAAACAUAAAAGUUGUACUCCUAUCUUUUAUCUUUCCAGUGGCUUAAUAAUCAUGUCAAUUGGACUUCUGUAUUGAAAGAUAUGCUCCAAAUACUGUAUCACGUUUAGUCCAUGCAUACUACUACAGUGUUCCCAAUUAUUCAAACAUAUUGACCAUGAUGCAAUCCAAACUGGGUGAAGUGUUAAACACAAAAGUUGUAUCCCUUCCUCGUAGAAGCCUAGUGGUUUAGGAAUCACUACAUUUGGAGUUCUGCAGACAGAGAUAUGAUCAAAAUACCACAACAUAUACUAAAAAAGCCAUUACCAUACUUGUAUGGGUUUUCAUCAAAUGAGCCUUUUUCAUCAAAUUUCCUACAAAAGCAAUAAGAGAAAUUACCAAUACUACUCUUAAAGUAAUUUAAAAUAAAAUAAUAUAAAAUUUAACUAAAAUAACUUAAGUUAGCUACUUAACAUGUAAUCAAACUUAAACUAGAAAAAUGCUUAAAAUGCUACGAUUUGAACCUAAAAUCUCAAAGAUCUAACUACUUAAGCCCCCAAAAUGUGUCAAAAUAACUCUAUAUAAUAGAGUUAUCAACUCUCCAUAGAGAGACUAAGGAAGAAAGUCAGCUUAAGGACUCUUUCUCAGCGUAAAGAGUGCUACUUUUAUUGAUAUUGAUGAAUCAGGCCUAACGAGAGGAGAUAGAAUCAUCCUAUAUUGAAAGACAUAGCUCCUAAAUCAAUAGGAAAGUAUACAAUCAUCAUUUCACAUUCGAGUGAUAACUCUAUUAUAUAGAGUUAUUUUGCCACAUUUUAAUUGCUAAAAAUUGUUAAGUCCUUGUGUUUUUAAGUUAAUUUUAGAUAGCUUUUAUGUUUUUCGUUAUUAAGUUUAAUGGAUGUUGAACUACUUUAAUUUGAGUAAUUUUAGAUCUUUUUCACGUUAAAAGUCCUAAAUUGAGCCAUCACUGAUUUCGUUUUUGUUUUAAAGGUUCUCAAGUGCAUAAAGAUUCCUAAAAGUGAAUCACACAAGAAUGGCUAUGUGUAGAUUUUUAUUGAAUAUGGUGUGGUAUUUUGGGCAUAACUCGCACUACAGAAGUUUGAUUGUUAAGAUUCAUGAACCACAGGAAUGCUAAAAGGAAAGGCUACAACUUUGAUGUCUACCAUUUUUCCCAGUUUUGAUUAGAUCAUGGUCAAAAACCCUGUCAAAUUUCCUAAGCACUAUAAUAGCCUGCAUAAGGGGAAAAUAGAGGACUUAGCGUCGUAACCUUGAAUGGCCAGCGCGGUUAUUUUUUCUCUUUUUAUUUUAGGUUUUAAUUUUUUAGGGCUUUUUGAUGGUUUAUAAAUAGCUCUUUUUUAGCAGAGAAUUAGAGAGGACUGAGCAGUAGUUUUUUUAGAGAAAAAGAGUGAUUUUGCACAAGAGAAAAAUGAGAAGAGAGCAAGAGAAGAUAAGAUGGGAUUUGACAGAAAACUUUUUCUCACUUUAGUUUUGUUAUAUCUUUUUCUUUUAUUGUGAACAUGAAUUGUUUUCAAGAAAUCAUGUUGUUUGCUUUAGUUAUCAUGAGCUAUACUAUUUUUCUAGGAUUGUGGUGGAUUUCAACGUGUAAUCUGAAUAUUUGUUUCUUUUUUAUUUAUUAUGAAUGGGUAUAGUUAUGUUUAUUCAAAUCUGUUCGUAAAGCUUUUGAUUGUUUGGCCAACAGUUGAAUGAUUUAUGAAUCUGAAUGAGACUCAACAGAGUAAUUUUAGAUUAGAUUAAGUUUUGAAUAGUGUAUGUUCACGUCACUUAGAGGAUAGGUGAUUUGAUUUGCAAUUAGGAUAGAUAUACGCCUAAAUGCCAUACAUAGUUAAAUUAUAACACUAGCUUAAUUAACCAUAUUUAAUUGAUUACUAUAGACAUAUAGUAACCCAAUUAAGUUGGGUAUUUGUACAAGCAUCUUGAUAGAGACUUGUGCAUAGGUUUGGAUUCUAGGCUAGCAUAACCACGUAUGAAUAUAAAUAUUGAGAGAAACAAAUGUCAAAUAAAACCCAUAAUCCUAGGUUUUAAUCUAUUGCCUAUCUAGUGAAUUUUUAGUUUUUGUUAAUUAGUUUAGUGUUUGAUUAAAUUUAGCCAUAAUUGAUUUUCUACAAAAUCGAGUUACUUGAAUAAGAUUAAUUUGGCAUAAUUUUAGUACUUAAUGAAAAAUUAAAAGUAAAUCCCUAUGGGGACUUACUGUCUAUAUUACUUGUUUGAUACAUAUACUUGCGUGUAUUAAAUUGACAACAAGUUUUUGGCACUGUUGCUGAGGAUUUAUUUUCUUAUUUAUUUUGCUAAUAUUAAUAUUCAACAGAUUAGUCUUAAUUUAAGUUUUUCUUUCUUUGUUCUGUAAAUACGUUCCAUCAUUGUAUGAGAAGAGCAAAAAGCUUAGGGAUUGUAUUUUGUGAUCCACAGAUUGUGUCUUGUGAUAUAGAGAUUGAGAGAACAUUUCGUAGACUACGAUGAUAAAAUUAACAAGUUUUUGCUCAAAUUUAUACAAUGGUUGAUUGAUAGGUUGAGCAGCAAGUCCAAGAGCGAGUAGUAGAAGAGAAUCAUCCCUUAAUGGACUAUGUUGUUCCAUUGGUACAAGGGCUUCCUUCGAGCAUUUGUAGGCCAACUAUUCAAGCUAACAAAUUUGAGAUUAAGUCUGCCAUCAUUACCAUGAUCCAAACUUCAAUCCAGUUUAGGGGUUUUUUAAAUGACAAUCCAAAUGCCCACAUCUUGAACUUUUUAGAGAUAUGUGACACCUUUAAACACAAUGGAGUCACAGAUGAUGCGAUCCGUUUGAGACUUUUUCAUUUUCGUAAAUGGACAAAGUGAAUUUGUGGCUGAACUCAUUUCUUAUUGGCUCUAUUACAACAUGACAUGGCCUUGCUCAAAAGUUCCUUGCCAAAUUUUUUCCUUCGACCAAGAUAGUAAAGAUGAGGAAUGAUAUCACAUCAUUCAUGUAACUAGAUGUGGAAUCGUUGUACGAAGCUUGGGAGAGAUACAAGGAUCUGCUUAAGCAUUGCCCUUAUCAUGGUCUUCCAAAGUGGCUUCAAGUGCAGAUGUUCUACAAUGGAUUGAGUGGUUAGGUUCAAACCACUAUUAAUGCUGCUUCGGGAAGAGCUCUCAUGGAAAAGUUAAUUGAUGAGGUGUAUGACCUAUUGGUGGAGAUGGCAUUGAACAAUUACUAGUGGCUAGUAGAGCAAUAAAUGCAUAAGAAAGUAGUUGGAGUUCACGAAGUAAAUGCCAUUUCGGCAUUAACAACACAAGUAACAACUUUAACUAAAAAACUUAAUUCUUUUGGUGCUAACUCAGCUUACAGUCCUUUCGUAGUUUAUGAGUAUUGUGGAGAUAGGCAUGUUAGUGAUCAAUGUCCAAGCAGUACAAAGAUAGUUCAGUUCAUGGGUAAUAGACAAUUGAACAACCUUUGCUCCAACAUUUAUACCCUUGGGUGGAAGAACCAUCCAAACUUCUUUUAGGGUAAUAAUUAGGGAUCAUCUUCAGCUCUAAGGUUGAACAGUCUUCUUAUAUUCCAACAGCAAGUGAAAGCUCCUAUCUUAGGAAAGAAACCAUAUAUAGAGAAAUUGAUGAUGCAUUACAUGGCCAAGAUCGAAUUCCUUAUACAUAAUCAAGUGACUUCGUUAAGGAACCUUGAGACCCAGGUUGGUUAACUCGUUAACACAAUAAACAAUAGAGCUCAAUGGAUUUUAGCUAGUGAUACAAAGGCAAAUUAGAAAAGGGAAGGUAAGGAACAUGUCAAAGCCAUCACCUUGAGAAGUGGUAUAGAAGUUGAAAGCAACCAGAAGCAAGUUGAACAGAAAGGUAAGACAGUUGAGAGUGAGACACAUAUUGCAGGUUCUAGUGAGCAGUGUCAAGAAAAGGAAGUAAAGGCAACUCUACCACCACCAUUUCCUCAGUUCUUUAAGAAACAACAGCAAGAGAACUAGUUUCAUAAAUUUAUGGAAGUGUUUAAAAAGCUUCACAUCAACAUUCCCUUUACAACGGCCUUAGAGCAGAUUUCCUUCGUAUGUGAAAUUUUUGAAGGAUAUCUUGUCCAAAAAAGGAGGUUGGGUGAGUUUGAGAAAGUGGCACUCAUUGAAGAAUGUAGCACAAUUAUUCAGAACAAGCUUCCUCUCAAGCUUAAGGACCUUAGUAGUUUUACUAUUCUAUGAAUUAUUUGUGGAUUAUUUUUCGCCAAGGCUUUGAGUGAUCUGAGGGAUAGUAUUAAUUUGAUGCCUUUAUUUAUCUACAAUAAGUUGGGUUUGGGGAAGAUUAAGCCUACUAUUGUGACUUUACAAUUAAAGGACUGAACACUCACAUAUCUAAGAGGUAUAGUAAAAGAUGUGUUAUUUAAAGUUGAUAGAUUUAUCUUUCUUACAAAUUUCAUAGUACUCAAAAUGGAAAAGAUAAAAAGGUUCCUAUCAUCCUAAAGAGACCUUUUUUACACACUGCUUAAACAUUCCCCAUUGUGGAGAAGAGAGAGUUUGUUUUGCGAGUGCAAGAUCAAAAGGUAACUUUCAACAUUUUUAAAGCUUUAAACUUUAUUAACAAUUAUGAUGAAUGCUUUGGAGUGAGUGUAGUUGAUGGGGUCACAAAUGAAAUUUUUAGGGAAAGCCACCUUACAAAUGAAAUUUUUAGGAAAAGCUAGUUUUAAGGGAAAGCCACCUUACUAACCCAUUUAAAGCUUCUUUGAUUCUUGAUUUUGAAACAAGUAAUGAGGAUGUCUUGGAAUGUGUAAAUGUGUUGAAUGCUUCAUCUCGUGUCAUGGGGACACAAUUUGAGAUGCUGAAUUUUUCAUAUUCUUCAUCAUCACUAGUAAAGCUUUUUAUUGAAGAACGUCGUAAGUUAGAGCUCAAACCAUUGUCGAAUCAUCUGAGAUAAACAUAUCUUGGGAAUUUGUCCAUUCUUCCUGUUAUUGUUUCAUCUGCUUUAACUAACAAGCAAGAAUAUAAGUUGCUGAGAGUUCUAAGAGAGCACAAGAAGGCAUUAGGAUGGACAAUUGCAGACAAAAAAGGGAUAAGUCCUUCGAUAUGUAUGCAUAAAGUUUUGUUGGAGGAUGAUCACAAAACCACUAUAAAUCAUCAAAGAAGAUUGAAUUCGAUCAUGAAGGUGGUGGUGAAGAAAGAAGUCAUCAAAUGGUUAGACGCUAGCUUCAACUACUUUAUUUCGAAUAGUGCAUGGGUAAUUUCGAUGUAAUGUGUACCAAAAAAAUUUGGAUGACAGUGGUUGCAAAUGAGAACAAUGAGCUCAUCCCCAUGAGGAUAGUAACUAGAUGAAGAGUUUGCAUGGAUUAUCAAAAGUUCAAGAAGGCCACAAGGAAAGAUAACUUUUCUUUACUAUUUAUUGAUCAGAUGCUGGAUAUGCUAGUUGGAAAAGAGCUUUUUUCUUUCUUGGAUGGGUAUUCUGGAUACAAUCAAAUAGCGAUUGCUGUAGAGGAUGAAGAGAAAACAACUUUUACUUGCCUUUAUGGCACUUUCGCUUUUAAGAGGAUGCCAUUUGGACUUUGAAAUGCUUCAGCCACAUAUCAACGAUGCAUGAUGGCUAUCUUUUUAGAUACGAUGGAGAAAACAUUAGAGAUAUUUAUGGAUGACUUCUUUGUUUUUGGAAAUAAUUUUGAUGAAUGUUUGUUAAAUCUUGAUAAGGUUUUAAGAAGAUAUGAAGAAACAAACCUGGUGCUAAAUUGGAAAAAGUGUCGUUUUAUGGUACAAGAAGGCUUCGUUCUUGGUCAUAAGGUUUCAAGCAAAAGAUUGGAGGUGGACAAAGAAAAGAUAGAGACAAUCGAGGAGCUUCCACCACCAAAUUCAGUAAAAGGUACAAAGAGUUUCCUUGCUCAUGCUUGUUUUUAUCAACAAUUCAUUAAGGACUUUUGUAAAAUUGCUAAACCUUUGUGUAACUUCCUGGAAAAUGAUGUUCUCUUUAAAUUUGAUGAUGCAUGUCAUGCUACAUUUAUAGAAUUGAAAAAGAUAUUGACAUUUGCACCUAUUAUUAUAGUUCUUGAUUAGUCAUUCACAUUUGAGUUUAUGUGUGAUGUUAACGACUAUGUUGUAGGUGCAGCGUAAAGAUAGAGAAAAGCUAAAGUUUUUUAUUCUAUAUAUUAGCUAGCAAAACCAUGACUAAAAAUCAGAUGUGUUACACUACUACUGAAUAAGAAUUAUUAGAGAUUUUUUAUACAUUUGAUAAGUUUCGUUUUUAUUUGAUUUGCAUAAAAGUUAUUGUUUAUACUGACCAUUCAACAAGUAUGUAUUUGAUUACUAAGAAAAAUGCCAAGCCAAGGUUAAUAAGGUAGUUAUUUUUGCUAUAGAAAUUUGAAUUGGAAAUUAGAGACAGAAAAGGCUUAAAGAAUCAAGUAGUAAACCAUCUAUCAAGGUUACAAAAUGACAACCACGAUAAGGAUUUGACUUUGAUCGAUGAGAAUUUUCCUGAUGAGUAAUUAUUAAAUGUUGAUUACAAGAGAUUACCCUAGUAUGCCGAUUACGUGAACUAUAUUUUGAAUAAACUCAUCCCUCUUAAUUUAAAUUUUCAUCAAAGAAAGAAAUUUCUUUAUAAUGUUAGAUUUUUUGUAUGGGAUGAACCAUUUUUGUUCAAGCAAUGUGCAGAUAGAGUUCUGAAAAGGUGCAUUCCAAAGGAAGAGGUUGAAAACAUUUUGACUCAUUGUCAAUCUACGGAUUAUUGGGGACAUUUUGGAAGAGAUAGAAUAGUAGCCAAAGUUCUUUAGUUAGGUUUGUAUUGGCCAACACUUUUUAAGGAUGCUCACAAUUUUGUUUUGCAUUGUGAUAGGUAUCAACAAGUGCGAAACAUUUCAAGACGUCAUGAGAUGCCUUCAACAACAUUCUAGAGGUGGAAAUAUUUGAUGUUUAGGGGAUUAACUUCAAGGGACUUUUUAUCUCUUUGUUUAAUAAUCACUACAUUUUAUUGGCUGUUGAUUAUGUCUCGAAGUGGGUAGAAGCCUCAACGUUGCCCACAAAUGAUGCUUAAGUGGUGUUGAAGUUUCUAAGGAAGAAUAUUUUCACAAGAUUGGGCAUGCUAAGGGCAAUAGUGAGUUAUGAAGGUAACCACUUUUGCGAUAAACAUUUCACAUCUCUACUUACACAGUUUGGAGUGACUUAUAAGGUGGCGACUGCUUAUCAACCCCAAACAAAUGGACAAGCUGAAAUAUAAUAUUGGGAGAUCAAAAGAAUAAUAGAAAGGGUUGUGUAUCCAUCGAGGAAAGACUAGGCUAAGAGAUUUGAUGAUGCAUUAUGGGCAUAUAAGAUUACAUACAAGACACCCAUUGGUAUGUCUCCAUAUCGUCUAGUCUUUGGCAAAGCAUGUCAUCUUCCAGUUGAGCUGGAGCAUAAAGCUUUUUGGGCAAUAAAGAAAUUAAACUUCAACUUGGAAACAGUCGGUGAGAAGCGUUUGAUUGAACUUAAUAAGAUGGACAAGAUCAAAUUAGAUGCCUAUGAAAAUGCUAAGAUCUAUAAAAAGAAAACUAGAAAUGGCAUGACAGAAGGAUUGUUGAACGCUGAUUUGAGCCAACAAGAAUGUGUUGAUAUAUAACUUUUGACCCACAUGGGGCAGUGGAACUUGUUGAUGGUUCGACUAACAAGUCGCUUAAGGUGAAUCGGUAGCGGUUGAAGCACUAUUGGGGAGGUGACAUUGAUCGUCAAUGUUUCUCCAUUAUUCUUUCCGACCCCAAUUGAGCUACAAAGAGAGUUUACCUAAAGACUAUAAAGAAAAUGCUGCUUGAGAGGCAACUCAAGUUUUUCUUCCCUAAAUCUAUUUUAGUUACAUUUUGAAUUUUUACAUUUAAAAUUUUGAUGUUUGAUUAUUAAUUUUUUUCCUUUUUGAAAGUUAUUAGAUUUAUUAAAAAAAAAGGGGCAGCAUCAUUGGCGUCGUAACACCAGUCACCCAGCACUGAGGCGUUGGGGAUGCUACCAAUUUUCCAACAAGGUUGACGCCAUGGCACUAAUGAAAAGAAGGCCAAGACCUAGGCAUCACACCGAUAGAAGGCCAACGUCGCGGCGUAAGAGGGUUGACGCCGCGGCAUUGAGACGAGAUUUUUCCACUCAUUUAAACCUCCUCCACUCUUUCUUCUUCAUUUUAAACCCGAUCUUCCAAUUUUUUUUUCACUUUGUUUCUACCAAAGCCUAAAAUUUCUCACCUAUUCACCAAAACUUCAAAAAUUUCCACAUUCUUGCACAAAAACAUAAGAUUCAAAGAGCAUUCUUCCAUCAACAAGCAACAAAAAUGCAGAAUUUUUUUUAAUAAUACCAAAGUUUUUGGAAGAAUCUUUAUUUUGGUGGAAAUUGGCUAGUAUAAAAGAGUUUUGUUAAUGAUUAUUGAUAGGCUUUGAUAAUUUUGGAUUAUAAGUUAUUGUGCUUGACAAUGUGACAAGUUGAAUUGAUGAAUUUUAAGAAUUGGAUAGUCAAGAUAAGUGAAUAGUGUCAAAAUAUUAUGCACUUUAUAUUGGAGGAUAUUGACUUGGUAUUUUUUAUGAAAUUCACAUUUGCAUGUUAGCUGUAGAGAGAAUUGAAUAUAGUGUGAUAUUAGCGGAGAUUUUUAGUGAAUUUUUGGAUGCUUAGAAUAUUUUUUAUGGUUUGCUUUGGGAUUUUGAAUCAAAAUGCUAUGGCACCUAAAAAGGCUAUGGAUAGUGGCACCAGUGGGUUCAAUAGGUCCAAAUUUGUAUUAGUUGAGGUAUCGGUACACCACACUCAGUCAUUGUUACAAAAAUCCUUAAUGUCGAAGAGAGGCAUUAAUGUACCAUCCGUUUAUUACAGGCAUAUUUGAGAUAUAAUUGAAGGGAGAAAUGGAAACAUUUUUGUGCUCAACCAGAGGUGACAGUGAUGCUAGUUGUGCAUGAACUUUAUGCCAAUGUAUACGAGAGCGAAAGACGAGUUACUUUUUGCAAGGGUCGUAGAAUGCUUUUUGAUAGCCAUACAAUUAACCAAUUCUAUAACACCUCUGUCAAGCCCGACCUUAUAAAAUACUUUCCAUGUCAUUCAUAUGAUUCACAAUAUGCUUGCAUACUUGGAAAGCCCCGAAAGAAAAAUCAUUAAAAGACGACAAUGUACCAAAUGGUACAAUUAAGUUAAUUUAAGCCUCGAACUAGAUCAAAUAGAGAAUUUAAAAUGAAAUUAAGAAUAUUAAAGUCCCAGAAUGGUUUAAUAUGGUGAUUUGGAGUUCGAGGAUCAAUUUGGAGUCAAACCGGAAUUUUUACUGUCCAGGGGCAAAAUGGUCAUUUGCCACCUAGGGACACAAUGGGAAUUUUUAGAAAAGAAUUUUUUUGGCCCCAUUUGACUUAUUGGAGUAUGAUUUGAGUAUUGGAGUAUAAUUUGAGGGUUUGGCAGUGAAAAAGUUUAAUUUCGGUGAUUUUUAGAAUGUAGGGGCAAAAUCGUAAUUUUGCCACCCGCGAACAAAAUUUGAGAUUUUGAGAGUAUUUAGAUCAAAUUUGACAAAUUGGAGAAUGGUAUGAGUAUAAGGGAUGAAAAUAUGUCUAUGGGCAAUUUUUCAGUUUUUGGGGCAAAAAUGUGAUUUUUGACUUUUACGGGGGUAAAAGUGUAAAUUUCAAAAAUUACUCCACCAAGACUUUGGAUAAGUUUGAGAAUUUUAUCUAAGCUAUGGAUAUGUGGGACAAGUGUAUGGUGAAAAUUUCGAAACCAAUGGAUUGCUAGAAUUUAAGGAAUUAAUAAAACUUUAAAAAAAUGAAUAAAAUAAUAUUAUAUUAUUUUAGCCUUUAAAAAGGUGAAAAUUCCAGAAUUCUCAUCUUCUUCAGCUGUCCAAACCAGGGGAGAAAAGGGGGAAAAAAACAAAUAAGAACCCUACCUGAAAAUUUGGGGAAAAUCAAGAGAAAUCAAGAAAUCAAGCAUUAAAAAGGUAAAUUUCAUUGAUUUUCCUUGUGAUUUUCACUACCCAUGCAUUUUUUUCUCAUUUCCAUGCAAAAUUAGAAAGUGGGUAUGGACACCCAUGCUGGCCAAACCUCCAUGGAUGAGUUUUGAACUUGAUUUUUGGUUGAUUUUAAUUGAAUUAAGUGAUUUUAGUUAAGUUAUAUUGAAAUAUAGCAAAAAUAAGCUAGAGAUAUAAUUUUCUCCCAUUGAAACCCAUUAUGCCGAAUUUUCUAGGGGAAUAUUGGCUGCUGAUCUUGAUGUUUAUUUGAGGAAUUAUGAUGAAUAAUGAUGAAUUAUGAGCCUAGAAAAAUAAUGGGAAUUUUCGGAGCAAAAAUAUAAAUUUUUACCCACUAGGGGUAUUUUCGUAAUUUGCUAUCGAGACUGAUAAUUUGCACCACACUGAGGGACAUUAAGUCAAUUUGGGUGCAAUUGAGGUAUAGAAACUGAAAAAAAUUAAUUUGGAGUUUAAACGGACGCGUAUAUCGAUUUAUCGGGUAAAAGACCGAAAUAGGCUAACACCGCAUUUAGGCAAAAAUUUAGACAUUUUUGCAUUCCAUAUCAAGCAUUAGUAGUCUAAAUUAGUUUAAUUUCAAUUUAGUACCAAUGUGGUGAAUUUCUCGAUUUUGUACUGUGUCAAGGUGGUGAGUCCUCCGAUAAAGGCAAGGGAAUUGCACCCGAGGACCAAUAGUCUGAGUAUUUCGAAAAUCCUCACUCUAGACACGGUGAGUAACCUUACCAUCAUUUUAAUUAUCUAAAGUAUGUUUUUAUUCGGUUUUGGUGAAUUUUAUGAAAAUGAGUUCAAAUGGUAAAUUUUUAUGUUUUGUAAACAAAAUGAGUUUAAAUGAAAAUAUUUUAUAAAUUGUCUUGAAACGAAAUAACGAUUUUGAAAAUAGAGUAAUUGGAGACCACUGAUAUGUUGUAAAUUUAAAAUUGAAUUAAUGGCUUAUGUUAUUGUAUUGGCAUGACUGGCUGGGCUGUGUUUUUUAUGAAUUGUAUGAAUUGCUUUAUUUUACCCUUGCAGGCUGGGUAGUAAUAUAUUAGCCCUGUCAUGCUGUCAAAAUUUUAUUGUAUGGUGGGUUUGACCUGCUGCAGUGGGCUGGAUUCUGUGGACUAGCCUAUUAGAGGGGCACGGAAUCCUGUUAUAUUUUUACCUCGGUUGGAGAGGCGAGUAGGGUAACUCCUGAGGUAUAACUUUUAGAGUUCACUUCACGCCAAACCACCUCGUGAAGGGGAACUCGGCCAACGUCAAGGAAUGGCUAUGUUUUCAAAAUAAAAACAUGACUUUCUAAUAGCCUUGGCGGACUCAGUUGGGAUAGCCCUCGGCCAAGGUAUCCCAAAUAACUGAGUAUGAUAAUAAUUUUUGGCAUGAGCCAAGCUUUUUAAGAAAUUCAUAAGCCAUACUGAUUACUUGCUUUAAAUAAAUUGAUUUCAUUUGGUUGAAAUAAGUUGAAAGAUGAUAAAUUACAGUUUGAUGAAAUGUUUUAAUAGUCUCCUUUUACUCGACUUUAGAUAUUUUGAGUGAUGUUUGUUUACUCACUGGGAUUUUAUAAUCUCACCACCCUCAUUUCCACCCAUUUCAGGCUCAGAAUAGAUUGUAGAUAACUGAUAUCGGCGAGGAUUACAGUUGAACUUGCCACAUCCAAAGACUGUAGGUUCAUUUCUUUUGAUACUUUUGGUCAUUCGUGGGCCCACGUGUCACUGUAAAUUAAAUUCUAUACUUUGGUUAUCUGUAUUACGGUAUGUAAGAAUUUAUUUUGCUUUUACGCUAUAAAAAUUAUUUAUGCAGUGUUCUUAAAAUAUCGUUUUAUGUGAAAAUUGAAUAUUUUAUUUAAUAUUUUUAUUUUAUUAUAACAGUCAUAAUUCCAUUUUAAACGAAUGUUUUAGACAUCCAAAAUUAUUUUUGAUUAUGAAAUAUGUGUUUUCCACUUACAUACUAUAUUUUUAGAUGAUUUUGAGAUUUUUGGGAUAAAUGACCAAAAUACCCCUGUGAGACGAAAAUUAUUAUUUUAUUUGUUUAAGUUGGAAACAGUUUAAAAUCUUUUAGAAUGUGGUAUUUGGAAACAGUUACCCACAGGGGAAAUGAGAAGCUGAUAUUAAAGCCUUGCGGGGUUUCGGUUGACAUUCCGGGUAAUGAAUGUCGAUCGAAACAUCGCGGCGGUUGUCACGGGCUCGAUGGGAGUUCCGGGUCGUGACAAUUAAGUUGGUAUCAGAGCUGUUGGUUUGAAAGAUUAGAGUUUUGGGUUUAAAGUUAUUUUAAAGCUGUUUUAAAAAUUUACAGUGUCAGUGUGGCCCCGAGUUAAGUUAGGUUAGGUUGAAUAAAAUACAUGCAUAAGCAUAUAGAGCCUGAGGUUGCCUAAACUCACUUUGUUCCCUCUUAGAGAUUAUUAUGUCUCCUCGACGCGAACAACCACCUUUCACUAGAUCAGUUGGGAGGGGAAAAGGUCGUUUCCAACGUCGUUAGUUAGGUGCAAUAGAGGAGGAAUCGACUGCAUCCACCAUUCGGGUAGCACCUGCUGCUGAAUAGACCGAGACUCCUCCACAUCCUCCACCUCCUCUGCCACUUACUAGUAUUCCUGCUAUGCCUUUUGAGGCAGUUCAGGCAUUUAGCAGCCUUCUUUACUACUAUUGCUGGCCAGGCUCAGGCUGGUCAAGCUCUUCCUACAGUUCCUCUAGCUACUCCUUCAGUACCACCAUCCCCACCUCCUGUCCCACCACCAGUGCUGGAUGUUUCUGAUUCUAAGAAGCUUAAAAAGGCUAGGCAACAUGGUUGUGUUUCUUUUAUGGGUGAGUCGGACGCAACCGUGGCUAAAGAGGUGGUGCAAAUGGCUUUAAGAGCUGAGAAACUUGCGAAUGAAAAUAGGAGUCUGCGAGCUGAGUUAGCAAAAAGGAGAAAUCUGAGUGUAUCUUCUAGUCAGCCACCAAAAAGGGGCAAAGACUCCUCUGUUUCAGGAAGUUCACGUAGAUGCAGAAAUUGUGGGAAUUAUCAUGUUGGGCCGUGCAGAGGGCCUGCACGAUGUUUUCGUUGUGAUCAACCGGGUCAUAUUAGGAGAGAUUGCCCACAGUUAGGACGGGCUACGGUAGCUGUUCCAUCUCCACCAGCUCAUACGGAUAUGCAGAGGAGAGAUUCCUCUGGAUUACAACCGAGACAGGGAUGAUUUUGAUAUACCACCAAGGGUAGAUUAAAUAUGUUGAAAUUAGUGCUCUAAUAAAGUACAUAUGAUAGAAAGCUAGUUUGUAAGUUGUAGUUUUCAUGAUCAUGAAAUAUAUAAAGAUUAUCAAUAUAUGGACAUACAUUCGGAGUUGUAAUUUACAAGUUUGAAGUAUUUAAGAUAUGAUUAAAUGGAAUUAGCAUUAGUUAAGGUACGUAAAUCUUUUAAUUAAUUUCUAUGGAGUAUGCAUGAUAGUAGAAUGGAGGAACAUCGUGCAGUGAUGCUAUAUGGUGAAAUCACUAUACAAUAUGGAAAGGGUAUUUUCGAGUGGGAUUUAUUGACUGAUGAUAAGUAAUGAGCAAUUUGAGAUACAUGUAGCUAUGAAUAAAUUUGGAGAUUUUUGCUUAAGCAAACUUGUAUUAAAUGUUAUGGUAAAGAUAUAUGAAUGCUAGUAGCAAAAUAAAUACGUUAAAUCAAUGUUUUGAUCGCACACUUGUGAUAGAAAGUUAGUCUUGCUAAUUAUGGUAUAGACUCGAAGGGAAGCCACACGAUUGUGAAUAAUUGAGGUAGUAGCUUUAAAGGUUGAAGAGUUGCUAAGAUAAAGUGAAUUCAAACCGUUGCAACGCCACAGUUCUGACUAUUAAACGCUGUCACGUUAAGAACUCCUAAUGGCUAGAAAGCAAGAGCAAAUUGAGAGUGGCAUGAAGAUGAAACUCACAAGUUGAAGAAUGGUCAUUGGUUUUCAUGCUAAGCUUUGUUGUUUGGAGUCUUAAGUGCAUUGGGAGGUAUUAAGAUAAAGAUGAUGAGUGAAAUUGCAGAGUUUUUUUUUUAUUGCCUUAUAUAUAUUGGCAUGUAAGAGAAAGAAAAGUUAGAGAAUUUUUGAGAUGGCUACAUAAAAAUAAAUUAACAUGUGGAGUGUUAAGAUGAAUAAUAUGAUGACUGAAGUCAAAUCUUAAGAAAUAAAGAAGACAAGAGAUUAAGUCUUGUUAAAGACUAAAGAGGAAGCGAGCGAAAGGUUAGAUGAAUGUAUGAGAUACUGAUAAGAGAUGUCAAUAGCAAGUGAGGAAAAUGUAAAUAAAGAUUUCAAUAAUGAUAUAGCAAAUGAGUUUAUAUAGAAUAUUGUUAUGAGAAUAUACUGAUCUUGUCUUGACCUUGUUGAAAGGAAAGGAUUAGUAACAACACAAGUAAACUAGGUGACAUGCUAGAAACCCAUGGAGAUAAAUUGAAGCAUGAGUAGUUGGGCAUGCCUUUAUGGAAAUGAUAUACUUGGUGUAUAAAAGAGUAAAUAAGUGAUUAAGUGUUUCAAGAAUGUUUAAACGCCCUUGAGAAAGAAUUAUAAGUUAUACAUGAUGAGCAUAAGAUGCGUGACUUUGAAACUUGCUAAGGAGCCAAAUGGCUAAGUUACGGGUUAAAUGAUCAUAUGUUGUGAGACAUAAAUUUAAAAUAAAUAUCCCUAAGGAAAUACUCAAGAGAAGUUCUGCCAUGGAUCUUGUGAAAGCAAGCACUAAGUUAUGUAGUUAUAAAAAGGAAGCUAUAAGCUGAGAGUGGUAUAAGUAUUAACAUUAAAAAGUACUUGAGGAGAAUUUAGUUUCAAGUCUUGUAAUUUCAAGUACAAUUUGUAAAUUAGUUAAGGAAGAAUGAUGUUAUAUUCAUAUGAAAGAGUGGAAUAAAGGAUGAUAGAAGUUAACCUUGAUAAUGAAGUCAGAUAAUGAAACUUUCUUAAUAUAUUAUGGGAAUUGGAAUUCGAAAAUGCGUGAGGCAUACAUGAUUCAAAUGAAUCUGAGUUUUAAGUGACAAAUCAAUAUCGAAAUGCAAUAAGGAUACAAUAUAUAGGAGACAUGAAGGAUAAUCGAGGAAUAAGGAUGACUUUUAGGAAUUGUAGUAUUGCAUAAGAUGCAAUGAUCAAGUCAAGAUAAAUUUUUGAGAUACCAAUGGGAUUAUAAAACAUACACGCAUAAUAGAUUAUAAUUCAAUGGAGAUGACAUUGUGAUGCAAUGAUAUACAGUACAAGGAAACUUAAGCAUAUAAUUGGAAACGAUAAGAAGAGAAUAUAAGUAUAUAAAUGAUGAGGAACUAUGCACAGGCAUGAUGAGAAUUUGUAUGAAUUAUGAAGAUUAUUCUAUUGAAUCUUGAUUGUGGAUGGGAAUGAAUUAAGAGAAAUUAGUCUGAAGGCAUUUGAAAACAGAGACUCGUAUACAUAAUGAGGAAUAUAGACAUUUGAAUGUAUAUGUAUAUGUAUGUGUGGAGUAGUGAUGUACCCAACUAAAAUGAAUAAUGGUUUUAGUGGUUCGAGAUUUGAACUCAAUAUAUUUGAUGAGUUGUAUAGAUAAUGUAACGAUUAAGAAUCUUAUCAGAAGACGAUUUAUGGUGACCUAAGGAAUUUUGGAGAAAUAGUUAAGGGAAUAUAAUCUAUAGUACGAUUAAGCCAUAUGAGAUGGAUUAAUAGGAUUAAGAAGAUUGAAAUUUCCUAAAUGCAAAGUAAACAUGAAAUAUGUAGAAAUAAUUAAAGCCAUUAAUUUUCCCGAACGCUGAGGAUAUGUACAGGAAUGAGUAUGGCGUGUUAAUGAUAUUGUAAACUACACAAUAGUGUAUGAGGAUAGGAUGAAUGAAUGAAAGUCGAGAAGUUUGAUAUGGAAUGAAGUAAUAAGAUAGUGAUUGGUAUACCUAAAUAAGAAUAAAAUGCGAUCGAAAUUGGUAUGAUUGAGAUGGAGUUAUGGUUCAAGCUUAAUGAUAGUAAUAGAAGCAUGCUUGGUGUCUCGAUAUAAGAGAUCAUAAUUGUGAAGGUUAUUGUUGAUAUGAUUUUAAAGGAUAAUAAUAGACAUAAGCGAAGUACUUGAGUUGAAUUGGAGGUAAAUGAGGUGAACAAAUCGAAAUUCCCUAUAAAGGGGAGGACAUAAGAAGUCGAGCAUUAGAUGAGAAAACAAUACCCCCACCUUUUCUCUAAGUUCAGUACAUGAAAUUUUGAGGUCAAAAUUUUAUUUUAAGGGGGGUAGUGUUGUCAAGCCCGACCUUAUAAAAUACUUUCCAUGUCAUUCAUAUGAUUGACAAUAUGCUUGCAUACUUGGAAAGCCCCGAAAGAAAAAUCGUUAAAAGACGACAAUGUACCAAAUGGUACAAUUAAGUUAAUUUAAGCCUCGAACUAGAUCAAAUAGAGAAUUUAAAAUGAAAUUAAGAAUAUUAAAGUCCCAGAAUGGUUUAAUAUGGUGAUUUGGAGUUCGAGGAUCAAUUUGGAGUCAAACCAGAAUUUUUACUGUCCAGGGGCAAAAUGGUCAUUUGCCACCCAAGGACACAAUGGGAAUUUUUAGAAAAGAAUUUUUUUAGCCCCAUUUGACUUAUUGGAGUAUGAUUUGAGUAUUGGAGUAUAAUUUGAGGGUUUGGCAGUGAAAAAGUUUAAUUCCAGUGAUUUCUAGAGUGUAGGGGCAAAAUCGUAAUUUUGCCACCCGCGGACAAAAUUUGAGAUUUUGAGAGAAUUUAGAUCAAAUUUGACAAAUUGGAGAAUGGUAUGAGUAUAAGGGAUGAAAAAUAUGUCUAUGGGCAAUUUUUCAAUUUUUGGGGCAAAAAUGUAAUUUUUGACUUUUACGGGGGUAAAAGUGUAAAUUUCAAAAAUUACUCCACCAAGACUUUGGAUAAGUCUGAGAAUUUUAUCUAAGCUAUGGAUAUGUGGGACAAGUGUAUGGUGAAAAUUUGGAAACAAAUGGAUGGCUAGAAUUUAAGGAAUUAAUAAAACAUUAAAAAAAUGAAUAAAAUAAUAUUAUAUUAUUUUAGCCUUUAAAAAGGUAAAAAUUCCAGAAUUCUCAUCUUCUUCAGCUGUCCAAACCAGGGGAGAAAAGGGGGAAAAAAACAAAUAAGAACCCUACCUGAAAAUUUGGGGAAAAUCAAGAGAAAUCAAGAAAUCAAGCAUUGAAAAGGUAAAUUUCAUUGAUUUUCCUUGUGAUUUUCACUACCCAUGCAUUUUUUUCUCAUUUCCAUGCAAAAUUAGAAAGUGGGUAUGGACACCCAUGCUGGCCAAACCUCCAUGGAUGAGUUUUGAGCUUGAUUUUUGGUUGAUUUUAAUUGAAUUAAGUGAUUUUAGUUAAGUUAUAUUGAAAUAUAGCAAAAAUAAGCUAGAGAUAUAAUUUUCUCCCAUUGAAACCCAUUAUGCCGAAUUUUCUAGGGGAAUAUUGGCUGCUGAUCUUGAUGUUUAUUUGAGGAAUUAUGAUGAAUAAUGAUGAAUUAUGAGCCUAGAAAAAUAAUGGGAAUUUUCGGAGCAAAAAUAUAAAUUUUUACCCACUAGGGGUAUUUUCGUAAUUUGCUAUCGGGACUGAUAAUUUGCACCACACUGAGGGACAUUAAGUCAAUUUGGGUGCAAUUGAGGUAUAGAAACUGAAAAAAAUUAAUUUGGAGUUUAAACGGACGCGUAUAUCGAUUUAUCGGGUAAAAGACCGAAAUAGGCUAACACCGCAUUUAGGCAAAAAUUUAGACAUUUUUGCAUUCCAUAUCAAGCAUUAGUAGUCUAAAUUAGUUUAAUUUCAAUUUAGUACCAAUGUGGUGAAUUUCUCGAUUUUGUACUGUGUCAAGGUGGUGAGUCCUCCGAUAAAGGCAAGGGAAUUGCACCCGAGGACCAAUAGUCUGAGUAUUUCGAAAAUCCUCACUCUAGACACGGUGAGUAACCUUACCAUCAUUUUAAUUAUCUAAAGUAUGUUUUUAUUCGGUUUUGGUGAAUUUUAUGAAAAUGAGUUCAAAUGGUAAAUUUUUAUGUUUUGUAAACAAAAUGAGUUUAAAUGAAAAUAUUUUAUAAAUUGUCUUGAAACGAAAUAACGAUUUUGAAAAUAGAGUAAUUGGAGACCACUGAUAUGUUGUAAAUUUAAAAUUGAAUUAAUGGCUUAUGUUAUUGUAUUGGCAUGACUGGCUGGGCUGUGUUUUUUAUGAAUUGUAUGAAUUGCUUUAUUUUACCCUUGCAGGCUGGGUAGUAAUAUAUUAGCCCUGUCAUGCUGUCAAAAUUUUAUUGUAUGGUGGGUUUGACCUGCUGCAGUGGGCUGGAUUCUGUGGACUAGCCUAUUAGAGGGGCACGGAAUCCUGUUAUAUUUUUACCUCGGUUGGAGAGGCGAGUAGGGUAACUCCUGAGGUAUAACUUUUAGAGUUCACUUCACGCCAAACCACCUCGUGAAGGGGAACUCGGCCAACGUCAAGGAAUGGCUAUGUUUUCAAAAUAAAAACAUGACUUUCUAAUAGCCUUGGCGGACUCAGUUGGGAUAGCCCUCGGCCAAGGUAUCCCAAAUAACUGAGUAUGAUAAUAAUUUUUGGCAUGAGCCAAGCUUUUUAAGAAAUUCAUAAGCCAUACUGAUUACUUGCUUUAAAUAAAUUGAUUUCAUUUGGUUGAAAUAAGUUGAAAGAUGAUAAAUUACAGUUUGAUGAAAUGUUUUAAUAGUCUCCUUUUACUCGACUUUAGAUAUUUUGAGUGAUGUUUGUUUACUCACUGGGAUUUUAUAAUCUCACCACCCUCAUUUCCACCCAUUUCAGGCUCAGAAUAGAUUGUAGAUAACUGAUAUCGGCGAGGAUUACAGUUGAACUUGCCACAUCCAAAGACUGUAGGUUCAUUUCUUUUGAUACUUUUGGUCAUUCGUGGGCCCACGUGUCACUGUAAAUUAAAUUCUAUACUUUGGUUAUCUGUAUUACGGUAUGUAAGAAUUUAUUUUGCUUUUACGCUAUAAAAAUUAUUUAUGCAGUGUUCUUAAAAUAUCGUUUUAUGUGAAAAUUGAAUAUUUUAUUUAAUAUUUUUAUUUUAUUAUAACAGUCAUAAUUCCAUUUUAAACGAAUGUUUUAGACAUCCAAAAUUAUUUUUGAUUAUGAAAUAUGUGUUUUCCACUUACAUACUAUAUUUUUAGAUGAUUUUGAGAUUUUUGGGAUAAAUGACCAAAAUACUCCUGUGAGACGAAAAUUAUUAUUUUAUUUGUUUAAGUUGGAAACAAUUUAAAAUCUUUUAGAAUGUGGCAUUUGGAAACAGUUACCCACAGGGGAAAUGAGAAGCUAAUAUUAAAGCCUUGCGGGGUUCCGGUUGACAUUCCGGGUAAUGAAUGUCGAUCGAGACGUCACGACGGUUGUCACAGGCUCGAUGGGAGUUCCGGGUCGUGACAACCUCGAUAUUGAGACUAACAAGAAUAACCAAUAUCAUAAUGGAAAUGUGGACUUAGACGAGGUCAUCAAUUUGUUAUGCAACCUAGGUACUGCAUGGAAAACAUUAAAAGGGGUUUCAGUGUCAUUCAAGGCUAGUGGUAUGACAAAUAACUUUAAGGUUUGGUAUCACUUCUUGGUAGCCAAAAUGCUUCCAGUUAAGUACCUCAACGACGUUACUAAGGAUAAAGCAAUGUUGCUCUAUGCCAUCCUCUCAAGUAAAUCCAACAAUUUUGAUCAAUUGAUUUUCAAUAACAUAGUUUAUACUACUCGUUCAAUUAAAGAUGGCCCAUGGUACCCGUCACUCAUCACUACACUGUGCAAGCAAGUCGGCGCGUAGUGGACUAACAAUGAGGAGCUUUGGCAUCUGUAAGUUCCUUUAGAUGCUGGUGGUGGGAGUUCAUCCUUUGUUCCAAGACCUCCACCGUGCUAGACAAAUUUCACCAUCUUAAAAAGAAUGGAGCAUCUAAAAUGCCACAUGGCGCAUCAAGCAAAGUGUAAAAGAAUGAUGGAGUAGAUGUUCAGGGCCUACACGCACCAUAUGGGGAUGAACAUGUCCAGCUUUCCUAUAAUGCCAGAUGACCCCAACACUGAUGAGGAUGAGGAAAGGUGAACCAGGGGAAGUAUUCUCUUCUUUAUUUUAGUAACAUUGGGGACAAUGUUAGCUUUAAGUUUAGGGGGGGAUUUUUUAGUUUGAAGCUUUGUUUGUUUCGUUUUACAUUUAGACUUUAAGUUUAGUUAAGUUUUUCUUCAGUAAAUUUUACACUAGAGUUAGUUGCGCCAAUAUAUUUGAUUCACUUAUCCAAUGAUGAUAAUCGAUUAUCUUGUUAAUCUUUUGCUCAUAGUAAGCAUGAAUAUUGUUUGAGUGUUAUGUGAAUUCUUAUGUAAGCAUCAUGAUAGGAUGAGAUUUUCAUAAUUGACGAUUAUAUCUCUUGUAUUAAAGUAUUAUGUACCUUUAGAGAAAGAUUAUGUAAAUGUAAAUUUUUAAACCAUGUUUAGAGUUUUAGAAUUUUUUUGACUCUUCUUUGAGGCAAAAUCUUAGGCUAUACUUAGUUAGGAACAUGACUUAGGCCAUCCUUGGACCGAUUGAGUGCUUCAAGCUAACCUAGUUACAUUUUUAUUCUUAGUAUACCCUUUUGAGCUUAAAUUGUCCCUUUUCUUUGAUUAAACACAUGAAUAAAUUAGCUUAGCCUUUGAGAAAUUUUUCAAUUUUACAACCCUCUCUCCUAAGCAUAUAUAUUGUUUUAGGAAAGGUAUGUUGAGAGAUUUGAUGAAAAAGUGGAAAAAAUGAAGUGUAGAGAAAAAUGAAAAAUUUUUGUGAAGCAUGCAGCCCACUACCAAUGAAAGAAACAGGUUUGGGGGUAUUGAAUUGAAAAUAAAAACAAUGUUUGUUGAAUGAAAAGUGAAAGGAAAAUAAAAAAGUAGACUCGUUGAAGAAAAAUAAGGUUAUAUAGGUUCUACAACAAUUAGAUGCUUAGGGUGAUUUGAGCUACAUAUUGCCCCACAUCUUUCUUUGACCCUAGCCACACGUUACAUGCCAAAUGUAGUCCUAAGGAUCCUUGAUUAAGUGCUAGCUUACAUUAGUAGAAAAAGAGGUGAAAAGCAAACAUAUGAAACUCUAAACUCAUUUGAAGUUUGCAUGAGCAUAAAUCUAUUCAGCAUGAUAUUCAUUGUAAGAGAUUUCACACACACACGGGAAUCCAUUCGAAAAUGAGCUUGCAUUUGAAUGUAAUGUGAACUUUGAUAAUAUUUUUGUUUUGCUUUGAGAUUGUAAAACGAGAUAAUUUAUGAGGAAAGUAAAGGUGAUCAAUGACUUGGUGCAACCUAUUUCUAGUUUGAUGUUUUCAAUUUUGUUAUGUUAUUUUUAUCUUAGGUUCUGCUUAAGGACUAGCAGCAUUGUAAGUUUGGGAGUGUGAUAAUUCUAUUAUAUAGAGUCAUUUUGCCAUAAUUUGAUUACUGAAAAUAUUUAAGUCAUUGUGUUUUAAGUUAAUUUUAGGUAGUUUUUAUGUUUUUUGUUAUUAAGUUUAAUGCAUGUUGAACUACUUUAAUUUGAGUAAUUUUAGAUCAGUUUCAUGUUAAAAGUUCUAAAUUGAGCCAUUGCUGAUUUCAUCUUUGUUUUGAAGGUUCUCAAGUGUGUAAAGAUUUCUGAACGUGAACCGCACAAGGAUGGCUAUGUGCAAAUUUUUAUUGAACAUGAUGCAGUAUUUUGGGUAUAACUCACACUAAAGAAGUCUGAUUGAUGAGAUUCUUGAACCAAUAGAAAGAUAAGAAGAAAGGCUACAAAUUUAAUGUUUUUCCUAGUUUUGAUCAGAUCAUAGUCAAAAAACUUGUCAAAUCUAAACACUGUAGCAACCUGCAUAAGGGGAAAACAUAGAACUUAGCACCGUAGCACUGAAAUGCAAAGAGCAUUGAAACUAAAUGGUUUAAGCCGUGGUGCUAGUGCAACUAUUUUUUCUCUUUAUAUUUCGAGUUUUGAUUUUAUAGGGCUUUUUGAUGGUUUAUAAAUAGAUCUUUUUCAAUAAAGAAUCAGAGGGAACUUAGUGGUAGCUUUUUUCAGAGAUAAAGAGUGAUUUUGUAUAAAAGAAAAACGAGAAGAAAGCAAAAGAAGUGAAGAUUGGAUUCGAUAGAAAUCUUUUUCUUUUGUUGUGAACAUGAAUUAUUUUGAUGAAAUUAUGUUGUUUGCUUCCGUUGUUAUGAGUUAAACUAUUUUUCUAGGAUUGUGGUGGAUUUCAACAUGUAAUAUGAAUAUUUGUUUCUUUGUUAUUUAUUUUGAAUGGGUAUAGUUAUGUUUAUUCAAAUUUGUUCGUAAAGCUUUUUAUUGUCUAGCCAAUAAUUGAAUGAUUUGUGAAUCUGAAUGAGACUCGAUAAAGUAAUUUUAUAUUAGACUAAGUUUUGAAUAAUGUAUGUUCACGUCACUUAAGGGAUCGGUGAUCUGAUUUGCAAUUAGGGUUGACAUACGCCUAAAUUUCGCACAUAGUCAAAUUAGAACACUAGCUUAAUAAACCAUAUUUAACUGUUUACUAUAGACAUAUAGUAACCCAAUUAAGUUAGGUAUUUGUAUAAUCAUCUCAAAAGAGACUUGUGCAUAGGUUUGGAUUUUAGGCUAGCAUAACCACCCAUGAAUAUAAAUACUGAGAGAAACGAAUUUUAGAUGAAAUGUUGAAUGAACCUACAAUCCUAGAUUUUAAUCUAUUGCCUCUCUAGUGAAGUUUUAGUUUUUGUUAAUUAGUUUAGUGUUUGAUUAAAUUUAGAAAAAAUUGAUUUUCUACAAAAUCGAGUUACUUAAACAAGAUUAAUUUGGCAUAAAUUUAGUACUUAGUGAAAAAUUAAGAGCAAAUCCUUGUGGGAUACAAUUUUGGACUUACUGUCUAUAUUAUUUUUCGAUACGUAUACUUGCAUGUAUUAAAUUGCAACAUUUGGUGUAUAUAAUAUUUACUAGUUAUUGUUGUCGAAUUUUCAUGUAAGUAUACGUUAUUGAAAAACAAGUAAUAUAAUGAUAAGUAAGAGUAUUGUUCCCACAGGGAUUUGUUCCUAAAUUUUUACUAAGUACUAAAAUAUUAUAAUAAAUCAAUCUUAUUUAAGCAACCAAAAUUUUUAGAAAAUUAAUUAAAAAAAAUUUAAAAUAAACACAAAGUUAACUAGCAGAAAGUAAAUAUAUUUGAGAAAAACAAUAGACUCAAGACCUAAAAUUAUGGGUUCAUUAAACACUUCAUCUGUUACCAACUUCUCUUAUUAUUUAUCUUUUCUAGGUGGUUUUACUAAUUUAGAAUCCAAAGCUAUGUGCAAGUCUCCAUCGAGAUGCUUGCAAAAAUACUUAACUUAAUUAGUUCACUAUAUGUCUAUAGGAAUCAAUUAAAUUAAGUUCAUUCAGCUAGUGUUCUAAUUUGGCUAUGUGUGACAAUUGGCGUAUGUCUACCCAAAUCGCAAAUCAAAUCACCUGAGUGACGUGAACAUACACUAUUCAAAUCUUAGUCCAAUCUAAAAUCUCUUUAUCGAGUCUCAAUCAGAUUCACAAAUCAAUUAAUUGUUAAUCAGGCAAUUAAAGGCACUAAGAAUAUAUUUGAAUAAACAAAACUAUACCCAUUUAUGGUAAAUAAAAAAGAAACUAAUAUUCAAACUACAUGCUGAAAUCCACCAUAAUACUAGAAAAACAAAUUAGUUCAUGAUAACUAAUAAAACAAUAUCCAAAGCAAUUUAACCAUGAAUUAAAACCAAGAAAAUAAGUAUAACACAAAAGAGAGAAUUAAACUAAUGUUGAAGAUUUGUUGAUCUCGAAUCUCUCUCAAUUUCUCAUGAUUCCUUGCUUGAUUCUUAGCUCCAAAUCUUCAAAAAACUGCUGACGUUCCCUCCUUUGAAUGCUCUAAAAAAGUCAUUUUUGUAGUUUCAAGUUAACCUAAUUUUUAUAUUUCCAUCAAAAUUGUUUUUUGGAAAACAUCGUGGCGCCCUGGCCAUGCUUCCUUCACGUCGAGGCACCAUGGUUGUCUUUUGUGGCGCCGUAGCACUUCAGUGUCACGAGGCUCUAGCCUCAAGAGUUUUUAUGGUGCACUCCAACUGUCCAACAUUGCGGCCAUGAUCUUCCCAUUGCUGCGACCCUAACUCCUUUAGCACUGUAGCCUUGAGUAACUGAAGGCCACAGCUUCCAACCAACAUGUUGCCUUGUGCAAAACUACAACCAUCCUUCGUUUUCCAAUGUGAUUUUCACCUUGAUUGGAUCUGAGUUGGGCAAAGUGGUAAACAUGAAAGUUGUAGCCUGUUCUCUUAUCUUUCCAAUGGAUUAAGAAUCUCAUCAAUUAAACUUCUAUAGCUCAAGUUAUCUUUGAAAUAUUGAAGCAUAUAUGAAUGAAGCUUUCACAAUACUUGUGCGAUUUUAACUCAAAUAAACCUUUCUCAUCAAAUAUCCUACAAAAGCCAUUAGAGAAAUCAACAAUUUCUCAAAGUAAAUUAAAGAAAAUAAAGUAAAAUUAAAUUAAAAUAACUUAAACUAACUACUUAACAUGUAAUUAACUUAAACUAGAAAAAUAAUUAAAAUACUAAAAUUCGAACCUAAAAUCUCAAAGAUCUAGCUACUUAAGCACCCAAAAUGUGUCACAAUAACUUUAUAUAAUAGAGUUAUUAUUUAUGAUUGAAAUGGUUAGUCAAAUAGGUUAGAUGGUUGUUGAGAUAAAUUAGAUGAAAAUUAAGAAGUCAAUAUUUGUGCUCAUUUGUAGUAACUCAAUUCUAAAGAAUUUUUUCUUUUAGGCAUAACAAUAGGCGACACUACAAGAAAACUAAAAUAUACAUUUUAAAACAUUAAAUUUAGGGGAUCCUUUGGCAACAGGACACCAAAUUAUUUUAGUCCAUUUCCUGCCCAAAAUUUCAAGAACCAAAAAAUCCAAAAAAAAAAAAGAUCGACGAGAUUGUAAGUGGGGGGUUCUAAAGAUAUGUCGGUCAAACAUGCUUUGUCAAAGAAGAUUAAGGGAUUUCAAUAACAAAAGAGGGAGAUUUGCAAAAUACAAAUGCAUUGAGAUGUAUUGACUUAUUCUAGAACUGAUAAUGUCUUGGAUUGGCUCAUGGUUCAAUGUCAAACUCCAAACUAUUCAUCCCUUUUACUUUGUUGUGUUUGAUUGAUAUUGAAAUCUACCCUCAUUGAACCUAGGAGACACUUAGACGCUUCUCUGUUCCACACACUUUUCUUUUUGUUUUUUUUGCUGCGCUAUUUAUUUUUCUGCAAACAGAGCUUGCAAGCUAUUGAAAAGAUGGAAGAAACAAAAGAAAAAAUAAUUUCCCCUGGUGAUUACAUACAUACAAUGAAAGUAAUAGAAGACAUUGAAAAAAAAAGCUAAACCAGCAACCAUGUGACAUUUCUUAGUAAAUGUGUAUAUAUAUAUGUAUAUAUAUACGUAUAUAUAUACGUAUUCUAAUGUAUUUUCUUCAAUCAUUUAGGUUUCUUUGCUGCACGCAUGAAGCUAUAGGAGAUUUUGAUGUUCAAAUUAGUUGAAGAAAGUAUUCUUUUAAAGCAAGUCAUGUCAAGCCCUACUCUAUUAUAUACUUGUCAUGUCAUUCAUGUGCUUGAUAGAAUGUUUGCAUAAGUGAAUGUAUCAAAAAAUCGUUAAAAGUCGGUAUCGUACCUAGUGGUACAAUUAAGUUGAUUAAAGUCUCGAACUAGGCCAAAUAAAGAUUUUACGAUGUAUUUGAGAGUUAUUGAAUCUUAGAAUGUCUUAAUAUAAUGAUUCAAAAUUUGAGGAUUGAUUUAGAGUUAAUUCAAGAAUUUUCAUAACGUAGGGGCAAAAUGGUCAUUUUGCCACCCAAGGGCAAAAUUGGAAUGUUGGAUGAUAUUUUGACUAAAUUUGAUUAAUUAGAGCAUUAUUUGAAUUUGACAAGUGAGAAAUUUCAAUUUCGACAUUUUUCCAAACAUAGGGGCAAAACGGUCAUUUUAAGUGUCCAUAAGGGCGAAAUUGGAAAUUUUAGAAUUUUACACCACCAUGACACUUGUCAAACCCAUAAAUUUCACCCAUUAUUUUUUUAAGUGAGAGAUUAUAUGUGGUGGGAAUGAAUGCUUAAUUGUUAAGGUUUUAAACAUGGACCAAUUAAAAGGUGACAAGUGUCAGCUUUAAUAUUACUUUAAUUGCCUCUAUAUACUCACUUAAAACCCUCACAUUCACACUCUUAUGGCUGGCGAAGCAAGGGAACAAAGAGAAAAAGAGAAGAACAAACCCAAGGAAGGAAAAAUUCAAGAGAAAUUGUUGGAUUUCAAGGAAUCAAACAAGUAAAGGUAAGAUUUUUUAAUUUUAGCUUGUGAUCUACCUUUCCCAUGCAUUCUUUUUCAUUCUCCAUGGCUGAAAUUCAAGUUUUCAAGAGGGAACCUUUGCUGGCCAAACCUAGAGAGUGAAGUUUUGGUGAUGAAUUUUGCUAGAUUUCAUAAUAUCCUAGUGUUUUUAGUCAUUUUGUGAUGUUUGAAAGGAAAAACAAGCAAGAAAAUCACAUGUUCUUCAACCACCCUCAUUUGGCAGAAUUUUCUAUAGGGCAUGUUGUUGAUGGAUUUGGUUGUAAAUCAUGUUAUUUAGCUAGGAAUUGAUGAAUUAUGGUAUCGGAUAUCAAAAUCGAAAUGAAUUUCAGUUACGAUGAAUUAAGUCACAAUUAAGCUCAUUGAGGUACUUUGGUGUAUUUGGAAUUUUGGAAGUGUAAUGAAGAUAUUUGGAGUUGAAUUGGAUGUUUUGGCUAAUUAAACAAGGCAUAGUGCGAGUUAGGUCGAAUGCCAAUUCAGUCCGAUCAUAAUUGAACUCACGUAGAACACCGUCUUUAAAUGAUUAUUCGGACAAUUCUCAUUCAAUGUCAUGCAUUCAUAUAGAGCCUAAAAUAGUUUUAUAAUAGUUUGGCACAAAUAUAUUGAAUUACGUGUCGUGUAUUAUGUAUAGGUGGUGAGCUCUCUGAUAAGGGUAAAGAUAUUGAUAUUGUGCCCGAGGACCAAGAAUAUGAGUACUCCAAACUCCUACUAUUGUGAGUAAUCAGAUGUUCAUCUUAAUUAUCUAAAGUAGUUUAUACUUGUUUUAAUAUUUUAGAGAAUAAGGCACUUAAUUUGCAAAUUAUUAUGUUUUACAUUUUAAAUGUUGGUUAAAUGAAUGAGAUUUAUAAAUUAUUUUGAAACUAAAUGUUGAUUUUCGAAAUAGAGUAAGUGGAGGCUAUAGUUUCGUAUUAUAUAUAUAUAUACAUGAUUUGAAUUGAUGGCUUAUGAAAUUGUGGUAGUAUGAAUGGCUGAAAUUGUGGUUUUGUGAAUUAUAUAAAUUGUUUUGUCUUACAUUGACAGGUUGGAUAGUACUAUAUUAGCCAUGUUAUGCUGCCGAAAUUUUAUUGAUUUAGUGGGUUAUGUAUUUAGCUUACUGCAGUGGAGGGAUUUUCGUGGACCAGCCUAUUAGAAGGGUAUGGUAAACCCCAUUAUAUUUUACCUUAGUAUGAGAGGCAUGGAGGGUAUCUCCUAAGGUAAGUUUAGAGUUCACUUCACGUCGAACCACCACGUAAGGAUGAAACUCAGCCAACGCCAAGGAAUGGCUAUAUUUUAAAAGUAAAAACAUGUUUUAUGGAUAUAUGUCAUUUUAACAUCCUUGGCGGACUCGGUUGGAUGCCCGGGCCAAGGUGUCACUGAGUAUAAGUUUUGGCACAAGCCAAGUUUUUAAGAGAAUCAUAAGCCUUGUUGAUUAGUUUGAUGAAAUGUAAUUGUUUUAUAGGAAUUGAAAUGAGUUUUGAAUGUUAUGAACUAUAUUAUGAUAGGAUGAUUUAACUGUCUCCAUUUACUCGACUUUAGAUGUUAUAGAUGAAUUUUGCUUACUCAUUGAGUUUGUAAAAACUCACCCCUUCUUUUUAUCCAUUUCAGGCUCAGGACAGUCUGUAGACAGUCGAUUUUGUCGAGGGUUGCUUUUGGAUUUGCAUCUUUAGAAAUCGAAGGUCUACAGUCUUGUAUAUUUUCAAUUAUUUUGGGGCUCACAUGUCAUUAUAGAAUAUUUUCGUAUACUUGGUUUAAUGUGCUAUUAUAUAUAUGAAUUUAUUUUGCUCUUACGCUACAAAAAUUGUUUAUGCAGG
rnacentral:lncRNA from 1 species